GAUAAUUGAGGAGAGUAAUAGUCCCAACAUGCUUCAUAAUGUACGGAAACAUGUGAUUUUUUACUUACAGAAGCAAAAUUUUUUUUCAUUUACUAUUAGUAAGUUUAAUUUAAAGAAAAAUCAAAUUUUGUUAGAUAAUGAGUAAAUCUGAUUACACCAAGUGUAAAUUUCUAUUUGUGAAUAUAAGUUACUCACUCUGUCCCAUUGAAAGUGUCCUACUUUUUUUUUUUUUUGUCUCAAAAUAUUUGUCAUGUUUGACAUUUCUAAUUAUUUUAUACUCUGAAAUUCAUCUUAUAUCAUUCAUUAAUAAUGCAUAAAGACAAAUGUAAUGUGAUUGCUUUCUAUUUCUUACUUUGACUAGUACAUGAUUAAGAGCAAAAGUGAAUCUAAAGGAAAAGGUUUUUGGUCUAGUUUACUGUGCAUAAAAAGCACAUAUCUCCAAAUAUGACUAAAUAUAUGGGACGGAGUGAGUAUUGUUUAGGAGACAUAAUUACCAAUUUUAUUUAAAAACUUACUAAUAUUAAUGUUAAUUAUUCUAAUACAAUAUCGAAAAAGACUCUAAAAAACCUAAUAAUGUCGCUAAUGUUAAUAGAAACCUACAAUAGUCAAAGGUUGCCCCAAUAUUAUUACCAUAACUAUCCACAUUGUAGCAUUCUCCAUUAUUGUAUUAGUACUUGUGAUCAUAGAUCAAGUCUUAGUUCUAAAUUUGAUAAUAUAUAGACUUCUUCAUGCAGCUAAAGUUCCACUUCAUUACAAAUAGCUAGUAAACAAUUUAAUUUCUUGAUGCGGAUAGUAUUUUUACCAAUUGAUCCAUGCUUAGUGAUGAUGAUCCAUAUUCACUGGUGGCUUCUUCUGCAACUUUCUUCCAAUAUUUUGCAUUAUUUCUCAGUGUUUUUCCUUGCUCGCCAUCCAUCAACUCCCUUACAACUCUCUCGACUUCAUCCCUUUUAACUUCUUGAUCUAUUUCGAGGCCAACUUCCCACUCUGAGCACGCAUACCUGCAGUUAAUCUGUUGAUCUGCAUUAACUGGCCAACAGAUCAUUGGAACUCCAGAUGAUAAGCUCUCAAUUGUCGAAUUCCAGCCACUGUGUGUCAAAAAUCCCCCUACUGAAGGAUGAUUGAGCACUUCCUCUUGUGGGCACCAGCCAGCUAGAAAGCCUUUAUCUUUAGUUUCUGCCAAAAUUUCAUCUGGCAAAGCUGAUGAUUUCCCAUCAACCAGAUCAGGCCUUAUAAUCCACAGGAAUGGAUGUUUGCUAUUAACUAUACCCCAACAGAACUCUCCCAGCUGCUCUGGUGUAGGGGCUACGACACUACCAAAAUUUACAUAAAGAACAGAACUAUGUUUCUGGCUGUUGAGCCACUGAAGACACUCUGCUUCUUCUUUCCACAUGUUACAAUCAAGAGAGUUUAAGGGAUUUUCUUUAGGAAUCUUAUUCAGGAGCAAGCUAAGGGGUCCAAUAGCAUGAACAAGUGGAUACUUCGAAGAUAGAAAUUCUAAUAUCUCUUUCUCCAAGGCAUCAAAAGUGUGGAUAAUUACUACCGAAGCUUUUGAAGCAUCCUGAGCUGAUUCCAUCAGAAAGUGAAACAGGACAUCAUUAGGAUCUGCUGUUCGGAGACGGCUUGGAAGAUCUUUCAGACGAAUACUCUUUUCUGCAGUCCAUUGUAUGCUAGUGUUUUCCAAGUAACCAUUUUUUAAGUAGCGCACAUCUGCAACAUCAGAGGUAAUCAUCAAAGCUAAGAUGUGUCCUCAAAUUCAAAUCUUUUUCAUACUACUCCUACUUAGUACAUAUAAUGUAAUUAACCAUUGAAUUUAUACUAGUACCUUUCAGUGGUGCUAGACCAUUUUCAAAGAGAGAAGAAAACUUGUAAUAGCCCAUUACUCCACAAGCUGCCAGGGUGAAGAUAGCAGCAACAGGAAUGCCAAAUUCUUCAGCUGCAGCAAAAGUGAAAAACAUUAAACCAUCAGCGACUAUGCAAGUCACUGGAGGAUUUUCAGUGGAGGGAUUCUCGUUGAGUUUCACAAGGAGGUUCCUGAAGGGAGCAAGAAAGUUGUGCGUAAUGGAUUCACAAAGAGCACUAGCGUCUUGGCUGGAAUCUGAAUCAGAAGGAGACAGGCCAUCUGGGAUAGUUUCGAAACGGAAGUCCGGCAAGCACUCCAGAAAACUUGGACCUUUAGAUCUGAGCAACCGUUUGUGGUUGAAAUCUGUGUUAACAAAAGUAAUGAAGUAGCCCCUGUGGUGAAGGAGUUUUGCUAGAUUCAUUGUGGCUUUGAUGUGGCUUUGAUGUGGAUAUGCUAUACAAACUGCAUGGGGCUUAAUAGCCUCUGCCAUUCUACAGAUUCAACUCCACUGUCUUACGGCUACAGUGUGGGAUGGGUAGCUAGAGGAAAAAUUGGGCUGGGGAGGGGACUCAGGGGAGAGGACGUUGACUAGAUAUGCUUGGGUCUUUUUAGACUUUUUAUCUGGGGCUUCGUGGACUUCAUUUUGCGUGUAAAACAUUGGAUCAGGACCUCACAAGUUAAAAUUUGUCCAGUUCAAACCGAUUGGUGUAAAUUACUACAACGUUUGGUACAGAAGCGUACAACUUCAGGUUUGUAGAGUAUAUGUACUCACAAUCACCGUCUGCGUUGCUGCUUUCCUCCAAACUAUAUAUACUGCACGCUUUUGCAAAAGACUAUCACUGUUGUACAAACAGGUCGCCAAGCCCUCUUAGACAUAUUUAUUAGGAUUGUGAAAAUCUGUAAAUAUUAAGAAUAUGAAAACAUCUCGCUAUGUCAGUGCUCUUUAUCUAUGUAAUAUAAAUAUAUGCAACAUCUCCCUAUGUUAGUACUCUCCAUCUAUGUAAAUAUAUGCAGUUAGUAAUAGGUUCAAACCAUUAUUAUUUUUCACUUCUUUACUGUAAACUUAUAUGCCUACAAAGCCAACACAAAGUUGACUUAGCUUGUAAUAAAGGAUCACUUCCUCAUAAAAGGUUGAGUAUUCGAAUUUUAUUGUUAAUGUAAGAGAUAUAUUGAUAAAUGAUUGUAAGAGCCUUUACAAAUGAUCUAUGGUUUCGAAAAUAUGUCCUAACUCAUAGUGGUGACAGAAACCGAACCCACCCAAUUUUAUUUUUUUUUACCAAAAAAAUUAUAGGUAUACAAAUGUUUCAGUACUCCCUUCUAUAACAUUGAACGCGCUGCUUUUCAACAAAACAUUUCCAUUAUGAUAAGAGCAAAUUACUCAAAAAAGUCACAAAACUUUUUGAAUAGUAGAGUUUUGACUACUCAAUUUUUAAGAGUAUGUAUUUACCUACUAAACUAUUAGAAGUAUAAAUUUUAGGUUAUUCUAUUUAUUUUUACCAUUUAAUCUACCAUAUCUAAGGGUUGCACGAAUCACAAGAUAUAAUCAGAUUUAACAUAUUUAACUAUGAAAAUAAAAAAAAAUGGUCUAAAAUUUACACUUAUGAUAGUUUAGUAAGUAAGUACAUACUCUUAAAAAUUGAAUAAUCAAAACUCUACUAUUUGAAAAGUUUGGUCCCUAUGUGGGUGAUUUGCUCUUACAAUAGUAUCUGACAACUUCACCCCUUAAAAGCGAGACCCAAAUCUAGGGAUGACAAUGGGGACGGGUGCCCGCGGGGGGCUAAUGGGGCCGGAGGGAAUUUUUCCCCCCAUUUAGAAACGGGGCGCCACCCGUUUAAAAAAAAUAAUAAAGAUAUAUAUAUACAUAAUUAUAUAUAAUAUUUAAUUUAAUUAGUUAUAAAUUUAUAAUAAUGAUAUUAUUAGUUAUAUGUAUCAUUUAAUAUAUAUUAGCAUAUGUAAUAUAACUGAUAUUAUCAAUUAUACUACUAAUUAUACAUGUCUACUAAUAAAAAUUAUUUAUUAUUUAUACUAAAUUUAUUAAUACAUUUAUAUUAAAUUCCUAACUACACUUAACAUAAUAACACUUUUUCUCAAAAAAAAAAACACAAUAAUAAUUUAGUGAUUGUAUUUGUAUCAAAAGUGAAAAUUUGAUUAUUUUAGUUAUAUUUGUUUUAUCAUAUUGGAUUGUAUUCAAAUUGUUUUUGUUUAAUUUUUUUUAUGAGUUUCAAUUGUGAAGUUACAAUGAAUAAUAAGUUGGUGAUGUGUUGAUAUUUUAGUACUUGAUUAUUUACUAAAAUUUAAUUAUAAUGAAAUUAUAUAACAAAAAAAUUUUUAACCCCACGAGUGCUCCAACGGGGGAAGCCAGAGACGAAGAUGGGGGCAGAGGCAGGGGGCAAUAAUGGGCACCCUUACCCAAAUCUCCCCCGCUCCAACCCCCCGUUGCCACGAGAGAAAAGUGUGAGUUGGGUCAUGAACAGUACAUAUGAUCUCCUAUUAACACUCUGAGUGGGUGGGCAGUUUCAGAAUUUCAGUUGAAGUUUGAUAGGCUGGCAUUGCUGGAUUUUGGAGAUAAUGUGCGGUAGACGUGGCUGGGUGUUUCUUUAUCAUCUUACGUCGUUUGACUGUUAUACAGCAGAAUUAUUAACUGAUUCGUCUUUUUAGGCAUUGUCAACCUAUAACAGUAGUGCGGUGGGGAACUUUUACAUCGGAGUAUAAUACAGUCUCUUUCUCCUCCAUUUGAUUUUUGGUCGUCUUUUUAUACCCCACAAACAUUCCACUAUCAAAUACCACAGCUGCCUCCAUGUCCCCUUCAUCCUCACCUAAGCCACUUUAUAUUUAUAUUUUCAAGGUGCACAAAAAUCACCCAUUUAAAAUUCAUAGACGUGGUUUUCAAGUUGAAAUUGGGUUUUUCAAUUGACAAGUUUCCAUUUCAAAUAUUAUCAGCACUCCGCUAUCAGAAAAAUUAAUGGGUACCUUUUUUGUUUUCUUUCUCUCUGCAAUUAUAUAUUAGGAUUUUACGAAUGAAUACGUAUGGUUACCAUCUUCUCUAUUUUCAAAGCAAAAAAAAAAAAAAAGAUUCGUGUUUAUAUUUUGUCAUUCAAUAGGGUGGUUGUAUAAUAAUCGUUUGGAUAAUUCGUGAUUUUUUUUUGGGAUAUUUCAUGGAGUCCGCCUUGUGAUUUUGAGAAUGUUUGGAUGGUGAGAAUGGAAUAUUUUUGCAUAUUUUUAGUUGAUUUCUAUCUCAAGUUAGCGUAGUAUUGGUAAUCCCAGUUUAUUAUGCAGUAUAUGCAUGAAUAAAUUCUUCCCUAAGCUUUUGCUUCAAGUAAGAGCAUGACAAGAGCUUGAUAUUUAACAGUAGCAUAGCACCAGCACAAGUGCACAGAUUGCAACUUUUGAUGUUAAAAAUUACUGUAAUAGGAAUGAUGCAUAUGAGCAAGCCAAAAACCAAAUGCCUCAUGGAAGUUGUAUGCAUAUUUUACAACAAAAGUCAAGGGAAUUGUUCGUUGGCAUGCAUCAUGUCUACCCAUGGAUCAAGAAAUAAUCAAAAUCCUCCACCUCAAUAUGUUUCAUUUCGAUUUGAGUGGUACAGUACUUGGAGUCUUGUGAGCUGUGACAAUCAUUGCAAACUAUGUUUUAUGUGAUAUGUAUCAAUAUACAUAUCCUUCUCUUAUGCUUUUGAUGCAGAAGCGUGAACCAAAAGAAAGAGUCACACGAAUAAAUUCCUGAACAAGAGAUUGUAGAAACAAAAAAGAAAAUCUCAAUCCAUUGGAAAAUUUCAAUAAAGGUUCGAUAAAGUUGAAUAGGAAUGCUCGAAAAUAGUUAGGAUUCGGCUAUUUAUAGAUUACUAGGAGGCAUAAAUGCGCAUUGCGCACUGGAAAUGCAAAUUGCCCUGCCCAAUUUUGAAACAAUAAAAAAUAAUAAUUUAUUCAGAAAAAGUACGUUUUUAGCAUAGGAAUUUCACAAGCUUGGAUAGUGUAUCAGUGCUUUAAAUGUAUAAUUGUCAAGAGGGGUCUAAUUCAUAUAUAAUCAUAAUUCAAAAUGGCUUAAAAAGUUAUCAUCAGCCAUGUGCUGUUUGCAAUUGAAUAGCAAAGUGGGUAUGCGGUAGGCCAUAGUGAAAUGACAAACAUAGAUGUAUAAAAAUUUAACAAAGAAAAUAAAACUCAGAAAUGUGUAACAAAAUGUCAGCUUCAUGCCUCGCGUCUAUCUUCAUAGAAUCCAACGUCCAAAUUAAAGCUCUCGAAUUGUGCUAGCAGCAUUCCACACUUGGGGCAACCCAUAGAUCCAGCACACUACUACAACACGUCAAUCCUUCCUCAGUUCCAUAUAUUCACGUCGAGUUCCCUCAGCAUUCAAGACGAAAAUUUCUAGCUUGUCACCCUACAAGCACCAUAAAUAUGGUAAAACAAAAUAAUAGGCAAGACUAUACAACAUGAAAGGGAAGAAACAAGUUAACCAUAGUCCACACAGAUGCCUCGAUCAAGUGGUCUGACAAUUUAUAAGGAACUCUACACCACUAUUCAAAAACAACUUUCAAGUAAACCAGACCAUCUAAGAGUUGAUGUUGCAACAGAAAAUUUCAACACAAUGUCACUUACAACUAAGACAUCAAACACCACUACAUAGCCUAAGUGAAGUCUGCAAAUGCACCUUAAGACCAAAAAUUUUUUAUCUGGCUACCAACCCAACUAACACCCCAUUCACGACCUAACAAACAAGGAAAAGAAAAAGGGAGCAAGAAGGGAAUAGGCUUUUUUCAGUGCAUACAUAGUUCUAGAUGACAAAACAUGAGCUUUUUACACAUAUCCAAUAGAUAUGGUUUACUUACAAAAUUCAUUAAGUAAACACAAAUAAGUAGAUCCCACCACAAGAUAUCAUUCAUCCUGUUAAAGAACCAUCUUACAGAGUUUGCAAUUAACUUCAUUAGGCUAAAUUAAAUUAGAAGUUUCACACUCUUUUUGCCCUACGGACAUAUGGGAUUUACACAGGAAACUUAUAGAAAUUGUUCUGAGGUUUCUUGAACGUUUUCAAUUAAGAAUAACAUGGGAAAGGAAAUAGGCAGAAUCAACUUACGGUGUAGAUAUUUCUUUCUGUUGCAGAAGUAAAACAUGCCUUUGCCAGGUCGUAACAGCAUACUGACAACUCAUGAUUUGCAACUUUGUCAGAAUAAACAAAAUAAUUACCAAACUAUAUUGUUAAAAUUUAGAGAGAAGCUAGACCUUUGCAAGUAAUAAGCGAGGGCUGGGAGACUUUAGUUGGUUGUCCAAGAAAGGCAUGAUCAAGGUAGAACCAAAAGCUUGUUAACUAUAUCCAACCCUUCCAUAGGAUUCAACGGCGUCACAUGUGAAGACACACCCCCUCCCUAGUGUUGUUUAACAAUGCAAAAAGGACUAGAUGAAAAUUGAAGAUGAUUAAAGUGAAUAAAAUAUACAUCUAUCAAUGAAAGCAUACCCUGACCAUCAAGCUCCCCCAGAACAUAAAAGCAUAGUAAGCAAAGAAGCGCUAGUAGUAAAGGGUGUUCAACAGCAACUGAGCCAUGGCGGGAGUGCUCAUUUGUUUAUUGUGCUGUUGCUGAUAUAUCUACAUUUGAGGAAAAAAGCAUUAAAACAUCAGUUAUAGCACAAUAGAUCACUCUCACUUGCAGAAGGAAAAUUUUGGUUAUAAUGAGUCAUUGAAGCAUAGUAUAUUGUGAUCAUAUAUACAGAUUUUCCAAUGAUUAAAACAGAACCCUCUUUUCAAAAAAAUUUUUUAAUCCUAGGAAAACUAAAAAUCUGACCUCUAAAUACAUCUUGAAAGACCCAAAAUAUUUACCUUCCAUGUUGGAGCAAGAUCCAAGAGUUCUUUUCCUGAAGAUAUCAUCCCAUGGAAACUAAGUUAUGGAAUUGCCAACCCAAAAUCAAGACAAACCUGUAAUUGUAGAUUCCCUUCCGUAAAAGGACUCACAAAGCAAAGAAACAAGCCAGAACAGGUCUUACCUGAGGAUACACAGAGCUAGAGCUAGAUAUGAUGCUUUCUUUGUAAAACGAUAAGAUGCAUGUAAAAGCAUGAGCCGAGACUUGCUAAAUCAUUUGUUUUCAAGAAUGUUGUGGAGAUGUAGGGGAGUAGAUAGUCUGAAAUCAAGAUCAUUAUCCCCAAAACUAAUAUCAAUAAUAAUGUAGAAUUAGAGUUUCAAAGAUAAAUGGUUCGAAUAAAUAGAGAAACCAGAUUGCAUCCCAGUCUGCCUUAGGAAUUCUAUUGUGAUACUCAAUCAUUCUGCUCUAAAUCAACCCAUAACAUAAAUCAAGUAUGGGUAAAAUGGUAGACUUCACCAUAGCAAUGAGAAAAGAAUCUAGUCAUAGGCCAAAAGUCCUAGAGGCAAGAAAAAUAGCAUAAAUCAACCCAGAAAAAUUCCAAUCGGAAUUUAGACUUCACCAAUCAGCUAAAGAAAUUAAAUGACACAUUUUGGAUCAACACAUAAAAGAUACUUCAGAAGUCUUUCCCUCAAAAAAACUAAAAGAACAACCACAAUUAUAUUUCUUACUAAAUUGCUGGAAGAUUCUACAAAAAGAAAAGCUUAAUCAAAUAAGGAAAUGCCAAAUAUAUCAUGAUAAGCCAUGCAUUAUGGUAAACUCUUUCCCAUUCACAUUCAGUAGAAAAAAAUGCAUGCAAAAGUCAAUAGAGGGGCACAAAGAUUAAACUGGUAAAACUCACCAUGAUCAAUAUCAACUCCAAGGACACUGCAGCAAGAAAACUUCUUUGCUGCCAAUAUGGAUAAACAAACACAUUCGAGCCACCAGUAUUGCACCAUCCCAAUACUCUAGCUUCUUCGUGUGCAAGAGGAGAACCAUUGCUCCUCCUAUUGAUUCUCCUAGUAAUAUGCUCAUCUUCUUCCUAUUUUCUUCCCUGAAAAUCAAAGCACCCAGAAACUCAACCAACCACUCAUUUUAAGUCCUUUAUAGUCUUUAAAAAUAAAAACAAGAAAAGUAGGAAAUUAACUAUAGAAUCCUUCUCUGAUAAAGAGGAAAUAGCGGAUUUAUUUCAAUUUUUACAGCAGAUAUUGGUGAAUGAUCAAAGCAGUCAUUAACAAAACCAAUGACCUUCCAUUGCAAGACGAUUCCAGGAUCUAUUAUAGCCAUGAGAAAAUCAUAACGUUAACAUUUCUAUUCUACUAAGACGCGUACAAAACAAAAAGGCUACUGGAAAAACGAAAUAAAAACCCAAGGGAAAACAGCAACGAAAUCCACAGAAAAAAAAAAGAUCAUAUCAAGGGAAAAUAAGCUUAGGGAUACUACUCCGCAGAGAUCUUUAUAAUUAAUGGCAGGAUUACUCCCUUACAACUUAUUUUCAAAAAAAAAAAAAGAAAUUGCUGACAUAUAUAAGCAAAGAACACUGAGCAGCAAGAAUAAGGGCGAGAUACAGCAUUGAAAUAGCAUCAAAAGCAGGACAAGGAUUAAAGCAAACACCAUGGCCAACAACAAAUUGCAGUGUAAAAUGGGGAAAAAAAUCAUAUGAAGCAAAUAUGCAGAGGAACCACGAUUACGAUUAAAACGCACCAAUAAAAGAAGCUCGCAAUCAAGCUGGCCAAAGAAGGCGGCGAGAGGAAGGAGCUCAAAAAGGGGAACGGGUUCAAGGGCACAAUGAAUCUGAGAAAAUGGAAAUGAGAAACCAGAUGAGAAAACCCUAGGAAAAAAGGGCACAACCAACCCGUGUUGGAAUUCGGAUGACAUCGGAAGACACAGCCAUGAUAAAGCAUGCCAAUUGCCAUUCUUGAGAAAGCUCGCCUGUCAGCUCCGAACAAUGCAGCUAUGAGACCCGGAAAUGGAAAAGAACUGGCAGUGCAAUUAAUUCCAAGGAAAAAUACCGAUUUUCGUCCUCAAACUUUGGACACAAGACACAUUUCGUCCCUCAUCUUUCGAGCAUGACACAUCUAGUGUCUGAAUUAAGAAUUUUAGACCAAAUGUCAUCCUCAAACGGCAAUUUACUCACCAUUUAACGAAACCGGUCACGUGAGAUUCACAUACCGUUAAGUGAAAGCUUCUGUCCGAAAGAACCCAGGUGGAAAAGGACGUUGUCUCCACUUUCCUUGUUCAAAACCGAAUCUGAACUCACACUCUCUCUACAAGUUCACUUUCCCCUUUCGCUUGCCUUUCACUUUCCCUUUUCCUUUCACUUCAACGACUUCCUCUGCAAAUUUCCAAGCCUAAGCUCAAGCUCCAUCUGAAAAUUUCGCCGAGAGCAAAUCCCCUCUUCCAAAUCAAAUUCUGCCAAGAAAUAAAGUAGAAACUUGCAUAAGGCAACCCCCAGCAUUGUGGCUGUAUUUCCCUAAAAUGAGAUCCAGAAAUCUUGAGUCGUCAUCGUCAUCGUCAUCAUCAUUAAACAGCAACGCCCAGCUGUGUGGUUGUGGAUUGCGGCCAAAAAUGGCAACAUAUUGGCGGGCUGAUAAUCCAGGGAGACGAUUUUACGGUUGCUCAAGAUGGCCAGUAAGAAAUUUUUUAGUUUUGUUACUAUUUCAACUCAAAUUGAAUUGUGACUGUGCUUUGCUGAUGUUUAUUAAUGGGAUUAUAUUUGUAGAGACCUGACAGGUGCAAAUAUUUUGAAUGGCAUGAUGAACCAAUUUGUACAAGAGGAAGGACUAUUAUACCGAGUUUGCUGAGAAGGGUGAAUCGGAUGGAAGAAACAAUUGCAAAAAGCCGUAGAAGGGAAAAAAUUUUGAUUGUGGUCAUCAUACUGUUGGCUAUGCUGCUGAUUAUAUCUGUCACUAUAAAAAGGACUGGACAUGCAAUGGAGCGAAAAUUAGUGCUAAGCUUGGAGUGAGCUAUUCCAUUGAAGCUGUUAAAUCUAGUUCAUUUCCAUGUUUGUACAAUUUUGAUUGGAUUAGCAGCAGUAGUAGUAGUAUUGACUGGUUGUUGCAAAUGGUGGCAUGUUUUAACUUACCUUACCGAGUGAGAAUAUAGGAUUAGGUCUUGAUUCUUUGUAUCCUUCUUGUUUAUGUGGAAUGUUGAGCUUCUAUAUACCUCUUUUGUUUAUGUAGCAUUAAUUUGGUAAUUUGGUUGUUCUUUUUCUUGUUUAGACUACAAAUAAUCUGUCAAUAAGAUUGGUUUGAAGAUAAAGAAAUGUACCAAUCACUUGAAUAUGGACAAGACAAAUUUUUACACCAGACAAUUUCCAUUAAUAAAGUACCAAAACCAUGUGUUCACAUCGUAGCACUAAUUCUGAGGACAACAAACAAAAAAGUGACCACACCAAAAUAUGAUGUCUGCUUCAAAAAAGGACCAUUCCUAUUGUCAACCUCAGUCCAUAAUCUACAUCAAAACAAAAAAAAAAACAAUCUAAGGCUCUACUAUCAAUAUUUAUAGUGCUUUGUUUUUCCCUUUCAUUCUUGAAGAACCAACAACUCGUUUGGUAGCAGCAGCAGCAGCAACUUCCCUGUGGACAGAUUUGGUCUUGACAGGUAUCUGUACAUGCUCUUUCUUUUUGUUCCAUGUACUGGUUGACUGUAUUUAACUUGAGCUCUUUUUAGACCAAAAACUUCAUACAAAUCAUGAGAAGUUAGGGCUGAACUUGUAACAGCAACAUCUUCUAAAUGGUUAGUCUCCUGAGAGGUUAAAUGUAUUAAAGAACAUGUAUUAAAUUUCUUUUAAUCAGGAUAAAUGACAUAAAAGACCUUCUUUACAUAUGGAAAACAACUAGAUAUAAAUAAAUUACAAAGAAAAAAUCUGUAUUGGCACCACCAGAAAUGGUAUGUGGAUAACAAAUAAGUGACUAGAUCAUAUAGAAAGGACUUAAGACUCUAAAAGGAAACCCCUCAAUGAAGGCAGAUGCAAUGAACAGAAAUUACUCCAAUAUAUAAUGAACAUCAACAGAAAUUACUCCAAUAUAUAAUGAACGGUUGGCCAUGUGUGGACAAAAACAAAUUCCCUGUUACUUUUCACUAGAUAGUGCCUGCCUCAACAUCAACUUUGCUAUGAUAAACUUUGCUGCUGUGGUGAGCAUGUACAGCACUCACAGUUGAAGUUGCAAGUUUUGUUACAUCAUGCAUUGAUCCAUCUUGAACUCUACUUUCUGCAUGUGGACAUUUCUGCAAAGUAAGAAAAACAACUCAAGUAAUUUAAUUUUUAUAGAUUAUUGAAUAGAAGGAGAUAAAAUGAAACUUUAACAUCAAAACAAUUGUAUACAAGACUUACUGCUAGCUUGGCAGACUUAUUAUUUGGAUUCUUGUCGAAUAUUUGGGGAGUACAUGUAACCAGAAUCUCAGUGCAAUUAACUUCAUCGUAGUCUCCAUUGUCAACUUCAUCAGAUCUUGUAUUGUAGGCAGCUUCUUUGCUCUUUAUACUAGAUCCUGAGGCAUUGUUUUCAUCCUUUUUAAGCUUACAAGAUCUCACAUUGUGGCCUUGUUGCAGACAGUAUUUGCACCUUAUUACCUGCCCUACUCUACUCAUUUUCUUGGCCUUUUUUCCUUUGCUUGCUGUUCCUCAUCAGCAGUCCUUCUCCUUUGUUUUUUUUAUCUUCUAGCUGUUUUACCAUAUAAAGGGGGUUUUGGACCAUCAACAUGAGUCUUCUCCCAAUUUCCUUCCCCAUUCAUUAGACAAAUAGCUCCUUCAUAGCUCUUUAGGUAUGUCUCAACUGUAUACCAGCUAGAUACAUAUAACAUGGGAUCUUUUUAGCUAACCAAAGUGCAGCAAUUGCAUGAGGACAAGGAAUUCCUGUCCGCUCCCAUCUCCUACAUGAACAAGUUUGCUCUUUAAUGUUCACAGUAUAAUGAUCACCAUAUGGACAAGAAACUUCAUACAAAUCAUCAUUUGACUUGAAAGGAAAACAUUGUGUUGCCUUAUCCAUUCUCUUUUGUACCCUCUCAAUGAUUCUAGGACAAUACAUAUACUCUUUUCAUUUUUGUCUUGCAAUGUCUCUAUUCUGCUGCAUUUGUUGCAUCAUAUACAACCUUAAUAAUUCCAUCAUUUCAAUGAUUGGCUUCUCUCUAGCAUCCAAAAUCUUGCCGUUGAAACAUUUACAAAUAUUAUUCAAUAGCAUAUCACAUUUCGAAUGGGUGCUAAAGUAAGCUCUACUCCAUUGAGAUGGUGGUUUAUCAUCAAACCACUUGGCAGCAUCCAAGUCAAUUGUUGCCAUUUCUUCCAUUUUCCUAACAAAUUCUGCUGGUGUAGUUGCCUUUGCAGCAGCCCACAACGUUCUCUUUAAAGCUUCCCCUUUGAACCCAGCAGUAGAAAAGUUGCUGUGUAAGUGCUUUACACAAACCCUAUGAGCUGCAUUUGGAAAAACAUGAAUACAAGCCUGAACUAGUCCCUUUUGCUUGUCACUCAUGAUUGUCCAUUCAUAAUAUCUUUCAGUUUUCAAAUCUUCUUUGAGUAAUUUGAAGAACCAUGUCCAGGAUUCCUUGUUUUCACCCUCAACUACAGCAUAUGCAAUAGGAAAAAUGCCAUUAUUACCAUCUAGUCCAACAGCAAUCAAUAGAACAGCCCCUGCUAUUCCUUUCAAAAAUGUGCCAUCUACCCCAGUCAAAGUCCUACACCCAACCAAAUAUCAUUGUUUCACUCCAUGAAAACACAUGUAAAGUCUUUGGAAUCUUUGUUGCCCUUUUGAAGUGCCAUCCAUAGUCUUUAAUAUGAUAGAACUACCAGGAUUAGAUUUCUGAAUUUCAUGCAUGUACGCUCGUAACUUGUUGUAUUGGUCACUUUCAUUACCAUGAAUAAUGUUCAAAGCCUUUUUUCUAGCCCUAUAUGUUUGUUUUUUUGUGAAGGGGCAUUUGUUUUCCUUCAUCACCGUUUUUCUAAAAUGCUCCACAUCUACCUUAGGAUUAGAUGUAAACUCCUCACAAUACUUUCUACCAACCCAACCAGAAUUUACAAGUGGAUUUUGAUAUGUAAAGCCACAUUUGUGAAUGUCCUCAAAUGUCCUAAUUUGCACACUUCCUUCUCCACCAAAUUUUCUAGCAUAAAUAUGCCAAUUGCAGCCUUUACUUCUACAUUUUGCCCUCAAUCUAACCAAAUCCUGCUUCACAAAUUUACAAGGCCUCCCCUGUCUUACACUGUAGUUUGUAAUAGCUAACUUGCACUCUUUGAUGGUACUAAAAAACAUCUUUAAUUUCAAUUUUGGAUUAUCCAUGUCCUUGGGAUUGAACAUAACACACCUAUUACUACCAUUUUCAUCAUCAGACCCAUGCAAACUCUCAAAAUCUAAUUCAGAGUCAGGGGCUACAUCAUUAUCUUCACACUGAACCAAAUUAGCUUCAACCUGUCCUUGUUUUGCCAAAUUAGUUUUCAAUUCCUUAUAGUGUGAGACACCAAACCAUUCAGCAUUUGUAUCUAUGUUAUCAUUGAAAUCAGCAUCAUCUUCUUCACUUUGAUUAUAAUCAGAAUCUACUGCUGAGAAGAAAGACUCAUUGGCUGAAUCAGAGUCACUGUUAUCAUUUCCUCUCUCUUCAUGAUCAUGUUUACCAUCUUUACCACUAGCAGGACCUUCUUCAUUCUUAUCAACCUUAUAAGCAUCAUUGCCAAGUCGGUGAACCAAAAUUUCAUGAAAUGAGAUUUCAAGGUACAAGAUAACUUCUUAUCAACCUUAUAAGCAUCAUUGCCAAGUCGGUGAACCAAAAUUUCAUGAAAUGAGAUUUCAAGGUACAAGAUAACUUCCCUAAUUGAACCAGCAGUCCUUAGAAUAUAUCCAUGCAAUUCUCUACUAUUGUCUAUCCUUUUAAAGCUAUUAUUCUCCAAACCAUAGUACAAUUUGUGACCAAACACACCAGCAUCCUCAGUCAAUCUAUCCAUUUCAAAAAUACUCAAGCCUAUACUCUCAACAUAAUCAAGGACACAUACAUCUCCACCCUUAUAAUGCGGUUGGGGAGUGUAAAAUAUCAACCCUCCACAGUGACAUUUUAGUGUAAUCAGUGAGCUACCUUUUUCUGAUAGUUAAAAAAAAGAAUAUAUCAACUACUGAAUAAGCAACCAAACCAUUACUUUUAUAUUUUAACAAUAUUGGAUAAACUUAUUAUUAUAAGCUUAACAAUAAUUUGAAGACGGCAAAGUGCAAUAAUUUAGGGACCAUAGAUUUAUAAUUCAAACACAUAUGUUCUAACCAUUACAAAAAUUAAUCUUUUCAAACAAUGUCGACUAAACAUUAAUAAGAUUUACACCUGUAAAAUAGACAUCAAGGACCCUAUGUAUCAUAUUAAAAAAAAAAGUUCAAACUUUGUAGCUGGACCUAGCAUUAACAAUAAUGUAUCACAAUGAACCAGCUUUGAAGCUACUGGGCAAAGGAGAACCGUACUCGAGUAUCACUUCAUUUGGAAUAAACACUGGAUCCAUGAGAUUUGUUUUUACUUUCGGCCGCCUUCUUUCUUCAAUGAAAUGCUCCUCGAGUACUGGUGUAGAGCGUGUUUGUGGGUAAACAGGGUAAUUCCAUUUCAUUAAGAAUAAUGUUUUAUACCAAUCAUAUAGCCCUUUUAUGUAAAGCUGAUAUGAUAUGAAUAUGAGCUCAACUUUUCCUACUAAGAUUGCUUAAAAGGUUAUGUGACAAGCUGCUGCUAGUAUUUUUAGCUAAAAAAAACAAUAAAAAUAUAUCACAAACACACAUGUGAAGGACCACAUCUACAUAGCUUGCCACUAAAAGGUCAACAUUUUCAUUAUUAAUACUUUAAUCAACAAAUUAUUAAACCCUGGACAACUUACCAUAAUUUGGUGGGGCACAAUCGUUCAACUCCUUCUUUCUCACCAACAUAUUUUUCCGCUUUGCUACUUAGUGGAUGCCAGCAGGUCAGCUUCUUCUUCUUCGAUCUUCAAUAAUUUUUUGGAAUGUGCUUUUGAAAGUGUAAAAAUUGAAAGGCAAAGGAAAGGGGAAAAGGGUUUUACACAAAUAUAAGCGAGCUUGUAGAGAGAGAGAGUUCAGAUUUGGAAAGGAAAAGGGAAAGUGGAGACAACAUCCUUUUCCACCUGGGUUCUUUCGGACAGAAACUUUCACUUAACGGUACGUGAAUCUCACAUGAACGGUUUCGUUAAAUGGUGGGUAAAUUGCCGUUUGAGAAUGACAUUUGGUCUAAAAUUCUUAAUUCAGAUACCAGAUGUGUCAUGUCCGAAAGAUGAGGGACGAAAUGUGUCUUGUGUCCAAAAUUUGGGGAUGAAAACCGGUAUUUUUCCUUAAUUCCAAAGCAGAAAACCCAUGGGCGAUCCAAUUACCCGAUCCAUUCGAAUGGAGCAGCCGGGGAAGUGGAACAUUACAUAACUCACGCGAGCGGCACAUUACGACGACGAAACCUCUUGGCACGUUGUAUAUUCUGUUGAUAAUAUUUAUUAGUAAAAACUAGGAGGCAUAAAACGCGCUGCGCGCGUUGGGAUAAACAGAAAAUAUGCCCACUUAGACAUAUGGAUUCAUGGAACAAAAAUGUUUGUCAGUUAAUAAUUGUGUACACAGCUAAAUAUAAAUAUACAUGAAUAAGUAGAAGGCAAAAUUUAGAGUCUAUUUGACCCAUCUUCACCCACAUAGAGUCUAUUUGACCUGAAUCCUGAUACAUGAUUCAUAUCAAAAUUUACACCAAAUUUCCCUUCAUUCAUAUAGCAGUUGUAUCCAUGAAAUCCUCUUUGCAACCGGGAGAAGAACAAAGAGGCCUGUUUCUUUGACGUUGACAUGAAAAUGAAGUCAUCAAUUAACCUUAAAAGCAGAUAUUUGCAGUGGUACAUGACAGCUUUGUUCUCAUGGUGGAUUGCUGCAGAUGAAGCAUCACGUGUAUCUUGGUUGCCAAAUGAAUGUGUGGGAAGCUCCAGAAACUUUCUCCAGAUUUGUAUCCAAAAACUUGUUCCUACUUUUUAACAUCUCUUAUGACAAAUGCAAAAGAAAUCAAACAAAACACCAGAAAAGACAAAACAUCAAAAAGCAGCAAACAAUCACAGCCAGAUAUUUAGUAUCAGGGAAAGAACAAAGCAUACAAGGAAAAAAAGAUAAAAAAAAUUAGCAUUAAGACCAUUGCAUAGCUCAAAAGCAUUAGUAAAGCAAGUAUCCAAGAAACACAUAAAGGAAUAGGGGGGAAAGGCAAUUCUCUAAGAUUCCAACUCCAUAAAAAGAAUACCAACCAUGGAACAAGUGAAAAAUGUAGGUAAAGCAGAGCAACAAACAACUGCAACCUUGAAUUUCGGGCCAUGGUACAAGUUAAGAACUCAAGAGGGCUAACAAGAGUCAGUCAAGCCAAUUUAGCCUACAUACCACUUUAGAACGUUGAUGGCUUCUAUUGAACCCAACAUGUCAACUACCCCAUCAUAUUUCCCAGAAUAUGGUAUUGCAUCAGUAUGAGAACUCGUUGAAUCUGAAACUGGAGCAAGCUCAGUUUCGGAACCAGUCCUACAAAAAAACCAAAUGACGAUUUGGGUUAAGUACAUGUAUAACAAGCAGAAGAGAAUGAACAAUGGAUUAUUACAAAAGAAUUUUUCAAUCAGAUUAAAUUUUUCCUACAUUAACAUCCAACGUCAUUCUGCGAAAUUGAGAAUAAUUCUUCUUAAACCACCACCUCAUCCUAUAAAUAUGAAGUUUGAGUUGAUGAUGCUUAAAGUUCAAACUUUGGAACUUAACAUCAACAAUGUAAUUUCAAUUAUACAACUUUUGAAGGGAUUUCAUCUUUUAUUGCUUGAAAUAUUCUCAGUGCCAAUUAUUCUUUCUUAUGGACCAUAAUUCACCAAAUAUCUCUCAGAUAAUCUUUUUAAAUAGUUCAUGGUUCAAAAGUAUUCAAUCACUUUUCGAAUUUUCAGUACCUUCUCUUUAAAAAAAAUUGCACAAAGAAAACAAAUGGAAACAAAUGUUUCUUUCAAUGUUAAAAAUGGCAAAAUUAUGCAUCACUUCCAGAGAAUUAGACCUCUUAAAUAUCCUCAAGGCCAUUUAUGGAGUGGCCAUUUAUGACGAAACAUAUUCAGAACCUUAUUUAUGGAGUGGCCAAGAAUUUUCAUCAAAUCCCUGAGAAAGCACUUUCUGUAGCUAAACCCUAAUAGAUUAACAAUAAUAGGAAAAAAAUAAUAAAUCAUCUAAAAGUAUAGAACAAAAAAGAAAAUACUCAAACUAAUAUAACGAAUAGAAUACAGGGAAAACAAAAAGCAAAAAGUUAAAAAAGACAUUAUUACUUUCAAUUGCCAAUGAAAUUAUCAUAGGUAAAGGUAUUGUUGUUCUAAACAGCAACAGUGAUCUCCCUUAGCCCUUCAAUCAAGGAGAAGACGAAUUUCUCUUGAAAAGUAGGGUUUUUUCCACCGUCUACAUGAGUAAUUAAGUACAGUAGAAUAGAAUAGUUAGGCAACAAAAUGGAGGGUUUUCUUACAAGCUCGAAUAUUAGUAGUAAUUGAAAAAACAAUCAAACAGAGAUAAAAAGAGGAAAUAAUAUGAAUUACAUACCUAUGUGGGUACGGGUACGGAAUUUAGUGUUGGCGUAUUCCAGGCAAAUGUAAGGAUUUUGUCUUGAAAUCCACUCCGUAUCCUUCAAUUUGUUGCGGUCUACAACUACAAAGGUGCAUUCUAGAUUCCCAAAAGAAUUCGUCAGAAAUACCAACAAUGUUCAAAAGAGAACAGGAACAACAAAGUCAUAAUUUGUCUCAUAAAACCUGAUGUUCUCUAUGUUGACAGAAAGAUAGAAGCAAAAUUAGAUAAAUAAGAUUAACGAACUACAUAAGUUUCCAAUUUUUAAGGAAAAUUGUAGAGGGACAAAACUUCUUUCUUCUUGAAACUAAAUCACAAAGAUACUUACAGAACGAAAAGCUUCAAAGUUAAAUAAAGAAAAGCAAAACCCACAAAAAUACAAAAAACAGAACAUAAAAGAUGUUUGCUCCAAGGAAUGAAACUUCAAGCAUCAUUUGCACUUGGUAUGAAAAAUUAUUAUUCUAAUCUUUACAAAUUGUAGCCUCACAUAUGAUCUGAUGCAAAACUCAUUCUUUCCAAAAUUAACUCAUGAUCUAAAUGCAAAACUUGUUACUCUAAAUAUGAUCUGAAUGCAAAACUUACAAAUUGUACAGUACAACAGCAUUAGUAAUGUAACCACAAACUGAUUAGUAAAAGGCAUAAUAGAAGGGAAAAGAAUUUCCAACAACACUGACGAAAAAGCAUCACAAGCCUGAUAACAACUCAAAAAAAAUGAGCAAACACAACACAAGAAAAAGGUACAGUAGCUGCAACACAAAAAAAAAACUGUUAAUGGAAAACAACCACCAAAGAAAUCACAAACCAGUUUCCUAAAAGCAAUGAAAAAAAUGCUUGCACAACAAAAUACAACAACCAUUAGCAUCAAACAAGUUUUUACAAGGGAGGAGAAAAACAUGAAUACAGAGCAAAUUUAAGGUAGGAAGACAAAAUAUGUAUUCCAGCAGGAAAUCCAAGUCAUGGGUAUUUUUUUUUUUUUUUGCCUUUUUUAGGGUGGAAUCCUAGAACUCAAAAAUAACCCAAAUAGCACAUGAAACAAGCAAAAAAAAGCUUAAAAGAAAGGAAAACAAAAAAAUUCUAGGAGGGAAAAAAUGCCAUAAUAGGAAGGAUUUUACUGGGUAAAAAUCCAAAAAAAAAAUUCUAAGGGGUAAAAAUCAAUACAAACAGCCAUGAAACAAGCACAAAGAACAGCUGAGAAGUGCAAAAAACAGCAACACCACAAUAUCUCAAACAUGGAAGGAAAAUAAACAAAAAUAGAGAGAAAAUAACAAAAUAAUGAAGGCAGUACCUUAAUGGAUAGAAGAUGCUUCAGUGCUUGUAGCUCUUUCUCCGACGAAAAUAAUAGUGCAUAAAUUGAAAGCUCCACAGAUCUACACUCUAGUUGCAUUCUAGAUAAAACAAGACAAAACAUCAAUGUAACCAAAGUUUUAAUAGAAAAGAGAGAAAAAAAAAUCACCAAUGAAGGGAAAGUAGCGGAAAAACCAAGGUACUACCUGAAACAAUAGAGAGGAAGCGGCGGUUGAUGCUUCACUUCUAGUUCUAUCUGAGACUGAAAAAUAAAAGUCAAGAAAUCAAAAGUAAUCCACAUUAGUUCUCCAGUUGCAACCAGAAAAACAAGACAAAAAACAGCAGUCUCCGAGCCAAGGAACAGGAAAAAAAAGAUUAGUGGAAAAGACCACCGUGGAGUUACAUACUUUGUGUAUGGCCAACUAUGGUAGCCGCGAUUUCGUUUACCAGGUUUGAAGCUACAAAUAAUUUUUGAAAAGAAAUAUGCAGCUCUCAUGGUAUCAGCCGAUUAAUCGGGCAAAAUAUUUAAAGAAAAAAGAAAAACAAUAAAAAGGUGAAAAUAAUAUUUAUGAAUGAAAUCAAAGAAUGAGAAGGAAAGAAGGAAGAGAGAUAAUAAAGAUUUUGAGAGCAAGAGGCAGAGUGAAAAAUCUGACCAAGGAGCGGCGGAGAGAAGAAAGAGGAGAAUGGAGGAGAAAACAGCUUAAAUCCAUCUACAAUAGGAGAAAAGAAAGAAGAGAGGAAGACGAGAUAGAAAAGAAGAAAAGACAAAUGCAAAAGAAAUAGGGGUGCAAACGAGCCGAGUUCGAGUCGAACUUUGGCUAAUCGAGCCGAGCUCGAAUUAAUUUUAUGAAACUCGAACUCGAGUUCGAACUUGACGAGCUCAAAAUAUCAAGCUCGAGCUCAAGCUCAACUCAAAUUCAAGUCGAGCUCGAGUUUAAAAAAUAAAAAAAAAAUAAUUAUUAUUAUUUUAUUUUUAAAAAAUAAAACAAUAAUUAUUUAUUUUUAAAAAUGAAUAAAAUAAUAAUAUUUUAACAAAUAAUAAAAUAUUAGGGAUAUAUAUGUAAUUUUACUAUUAAAAUAAAAAAUAAAAAAUAAAUAUAUAAUUGAGCUCGCGAGUUUAAUAUUUUUGAACUCGAACUCGAGCUCGAGAAACACCCCUAAGGAGAAAGGAGAAGAGAAAACAAAGUAGAGGAGACGGAGCUUCUGAGAAUGAGCUGAAGCGAAGAGAGAAGGGGAGAAGAGAAAGCGGCAGCAACAGAGGAAAUUUAAGAAAACCCUAGAGAGGAAGUAUAUGCAGACGUCUGGCGCAUCGCGCGGAAAAAAAAAAGGCUGGUGACUCACAUGUGCUGCACGUGAGAGGACGACGAAAACCAUUCCAGGUCAUGAGAGCUCUUCGGCUCUUAUCAACAUAAGUAGAUAAGUAGAUAAAGUGCCAACACCCUUCAGCCAGGAGUUUCGUCGUCCCCUCAUGUGCCGCGCAUGUGGAUUGGCAGCAUUAUGUUCUUCGCGCAUUGCACGCCAGGUUAUCAUCUUCUCCUCUGCCAGCCUCCCAUGUGCCUCCUGCUGCGUUGAUAGACUUCUUUCUCUAUCUGGCAGUAUCACAUGCCUCUUCUUCCCACUGUCUUCUCUCUCUCUCUUUCUUUUGGGCAAUGUUGCUAUGUUGCUUAUCCGGCUGUUCUGAGCCUUGGUGCGAGAGCCUGUUGAGCUUACCGGUUCUCUUCUAACCACACAGGUAUCAGUGAGCCUCGGUCUCUCGUGUUCUCUGGGUUGCAGUGGUCCAGGCAUUUGGCUCUCCUCCUCUUCCUCCGUUGUGAGUUUUCUUCUUCUUCCUUUUCUUCCUUUCCGGUGAGGUACAAUUUUUGCCAUUAGCUUUCUGCGUGAAUCUUUAGCCUGGAAGUGAUGUUUUUGUUCUUUACUCCCCUUCUCCUGCCACGCAAGGACCAUCGAACCUCUGUCCCUAGCGUUCCCUGGGUCUCAGUCGUCCAGAUCAGCUGCGGUGCGUUCGAUUCUCUUCCUUCUCCUCCGUUGUACGUUUCCUUGUUCUUCCUUUACGUUGAGGUGCGGUCUUCGUUGUUAGCUUCCCUUGUAAGUUUUUUUUUUUCCUUUAUUUCCCUUUUCAAGCGGCUCCUAUUUUGCUCUCGGGAAAGGUUCGAUCUUGCCAUCCGUUUGGAUCGUGCUUCGUUGUGGCUCUCUCUGCAUUUUUUAGCCUAGAGUUGCUAUUUUCCCUCAAAUCAGAGGCGUCUGUUCUCCGUCACAAGCUCACCGAGAAGGAUGCCAUCAUCGCCGACCUUCAGUCCUAGCUUUAGUCCCUCGAUGCCUCCCUUUCCGACGCUUCCGAAAAACUCACCCUCGCUAACCAAGAAAAGGUCCGAUUCUUAUAACCAACCCGACCCACUUGAACCGUUUUACUUCUCCAAUUACUACUUAUAAGUUAGAGCUAAAGUUUUCUUCUUCUUCUUCUUCAUCGUUUUAAUUAAUUGAACAGGGGAAAUUGUUGAAGGAGAAUGAGACGCUAUCGAACACUGUGAAAAAGCUUAACCGUGAUGUUGCUAAGGCAAGUGGCAGUAUAUAAUGGUAAAUUUUAGUUUCCCCCCCCCUUUGGGGUAAGCUUAUUGCGUGGUAAAAUUUUGUGGGGAUUGAUUACUUUUACUUGAUUUUAGUUUAUGUAGUUCUUUUCUACAGCUAAAGUUUGUCAUUUUAAUUUUAAUUUGGUCAUAUGGAAUGUAUACUAUUAUUAUUUUUGGGUCUGAAUUUACAGUUUUCAGCUGCUCUUGACUUAUGAUUUUGAUUUUGUUCCUUUAUUAUGCUCACAUUAUUACAAUUCGAUUACUAAUACGUGACCUUAAUGAAAAAGAAUAUAAAACAAUGUUAGCAAUGUGAUUAAUUACAAGAGGUUAGGAGUUUGUGGGUCGAAACCGAGAUAAUUUUGUUAUUUACGAACUUAAUGGAAGAGAAGAUUUUCAUAUGACUGCUUGUAGAGUCGGUAGAUCCAUUGAGCUAAUAAAUCACGCCAUUUUUUUUUGGGUUGCAAAUGAUUACCCAAAAUUUAUCAUUAUUUAAAAGAGAAAUAUAGUUCAAAAUAAAAAAGGUAAAAGAUCCUAGGAGCGGGUAUUCCCACUUCAUAUCAAAUUAAAAUUGGCCUUGAUUCUAAUCUAGAACGUUGUUAAUUAAUCUGCUGUUUCGCUUGUGUUAUUGGAAAUCUCUAUGGCUUUGGCGUCCAAAAAAAUGGGACUCUUAUUAUCUUUUAAAGGCUUUUCUGUGUCUUUGUCUCCCUUGUUCGCAUCUGCUGUUUGAUGCUCUGGACUCUUGCGCGUCUGUAACGCUUAGGCUGCAUUUGUGCUGUUUUAGGGCUUAGCAUUUGAUGCAGAGUUUGGUGUUGUAAUGUUCACAUGGUAGGCUGCUUUUCUAAAAUACAUUUUUCUUGACGCUUAAUUUUUUUUUUAAUUUUUUUCAAUACAAUAUAGCCGUCAUCUUGCAGUAUCUUAUUCUUUGUUACAAUAUCUUUACUUUGCUAUGUGAUUUUUUCGAUAAGCGCGGGUAUCAUUAUGCAUAGGUUAUUAUAUAUUUGGAGAUACUCAGACAACAUAUAUCUACUUAAUCUUCUUAUUACAAUCAAAGUGGAUGGUUGCACGAUUAGUAAUUAGUAUGUUACUAUAUUGAGUGAAAAUUUUGAGCUUUUCCAUGUAUGUUGUUUAUCAUAUCCUUGAGCUUUCUUCCAUACAGGAAUUGCUUUGCGUAUCAUCUACUUGUCUGUGGCUGAUGAGGCUGUCAGUUUGAUAAUCAACUUGUAUUGAUUCUUUUCUUUCUUGCAGGUCAUAAAUUUUGAGAUGCCUCAAAGUGCUGCGGGAUAUGUACAUCGAAUUGGCCAUACUGGAAGAGCGUAUAACACUGGUGCAUCUGUCUCUCUGGUAAUUUUCUAAAGACUAAAUUGGAAUUACUUUUGUAAUUGAAUUUAUACCCUGACUUCCAGAUUGAAUUUGGUUGAUCUUCAUUUUUUUGCAAGCAGAACUGAUGAACAGUAGGAUUGCUUGAAUAUUGACUAGAAUCUUCGGUAAAUCAUUGGCUCAUAUAUAUCCAUGUUGUAGAAGUUCUGUCAUCCUUCGCAAUCAUGGUUUUGGUUUUCAGUUUUUUCUUUGUGUUUAUUGCAUACUGAAAUAAGCCUUUUGUUUUUUUAUAUCGAAUAUUGGAUUGUGCUAUAGGUUUUGCCCCUAUUUUUUGCUGUUCUUUUUUAUAUCAGAAUUCCUAAUAUAUGUUAGCACAUGAAUAAUGUCUCCCCUAAUAUGAUUAAAUUGAUUAUGGUAAUGCAUUUGAAAUUAUUGUGAUCAUUUUCUUAUAUGUUUCUUAUCUCCCUCUUGCUUGAUCUUGAGUAGGUGUCCCCUGAGGAGAAUGACAUGUUUAAAGAUAUUAAACCCAUCAUCGGUGAAAGUGAUAACAUGGACUCCAAUUUUAUAGCUCCAUUUCCAUUGCUCACUAAGAAUGCUGUGGAGGGCUUGAGAUAUAGAGUUGAGGUAAAUAUUGCCUUCCUUUAUUGCAUAGUAAGUUGUAACUUUUUGAACUUAUUAUGCGUUAAGCAUCUCUUUAUGCUUACGUUGCUUCUGUGGUUCUUAAAAAAACCCUAUGGCGUCUACCUCGAGAUAUUGAAGUUGUUUUGUGCUGUGUUGCUGUUUUGCUCUGUGCCUUUUAGUCUAGAGUUGCUAUGUUGCUAUUUAUAUGUACCGCUUCAGUUAGAGCUUUGUUAUGUAUUAUUUUUUUGUUUUGACUCUAAAAAUUAUAUAUUAAUUGCCUUUUGUAGUUAAGCCACAUCACCUAAUUGCCUUAUCUGUUGCCAGCAUAAAAAUUUUUUUAAAACCGAAUUUGAAUGCUUACUGUUGCAUUAUCAACUUUUCAAUUCUGUUACACAUUUGGGCUAUACUUUGUCAGUGUUGCAGGGUGUUAGCCUAAACCUCCGGGUUGCUGAUGCUCUUGAUGGAAAGGAAUUGUUGUGCUAUGUUAUACGUGCUCCUGAUUUAUUAGAGUAACUGGAAUUAGGUUUAAGAUUGUUACGGCUUAUUGGGUUGGAGAAGCUGCAUCUGUGGCCGUGUAAAAUGUGCCUUUCCUGAUGUGACAUGCCUCUUUCUGGCAUCAUCUCUACCUUAGAAGUUGCCGAAUUAGUAUUUUCUCUGAAGUAUAUAUUUCCCAUGCUUUCCUUCAAAUAUGUUUUUAUUCUCAGGUUUUUGCUUCAUCAUUAUUUUUACUUUCUGUGGUGAUGAUUCAUGAUUUCAAGCAUGAAUUAGUCAUGAUUUACCUGUAAUUUAUGCACAUACAAUUCAAUAAGGAUUUCAAAGGUUAUGUGGCUAUGAAUGAGCAUUUAGCUGAAGUUUGCCUAUUUUGAUUGUGGAACGGAUUGUCCGUGUAAUUUAUUUACCUUACUUUUACUCAACAGAAAGAACUUGCUCAACUUACUUGUGAAUGUGAAAGACAUAUUGGCACACAAUCUGGCGGAAUGGAACAGGUAAUGAUUUUCUGCUCUUUCCUUGCUUGUUUCUUGAAGUUCUGAAGUAGCCUCUGCAAGAUUUCUGCAGAAGCAUAAUAUUGUUUUGGGUUAAAAAUAUAAAAACCCCCUAUGGUACAGCUAUUACACAUAAAAAUCCCUCGUGGUUUCAAAUCAUACCUAUCGAUACCCCAUGGUUUGAAAGAAAGUGCAUUUUCGACGAAAAUCAUUAAUGAAAACGCGAUUAUCAUCCACGCACUGAAAAGGAGCGUGGUUGCUUCGGAAAAUGGUUUUUUAACUCAAAGUUUGAGCUGAUAUUCCUCUUGUGCCCUUGACAACUUAUUAAAACUGCAAGCCAAUCAGCUUCUUCGGACUUUGGAGAAGUCUAGCUUCCUUGAUAGAAGGUUUCUUCAAGCUCUCGUGCCUCAGGAGGAAAAUAUGCAGGCUUGUGCCUCCUUAAGUGCAAGUUUCAAAAGGUAAAACCUUUAACCAUUUGGAAUAUCAAUAAAUUCUUAUAAUGAACUCUAUAUUUUUCUUUGUGUAAAUAGUGAAGGGAAUAAUUAAGAAACCGUACGAUGAUGUCUUCCUCAAGCUCUCGACCAGGCAGUGGGAGAAACGGAGCUAGAGAUCUUCGAUACGAGUACAAGAUGUGUAAUUGUCGAAAGAAGGCGAAACUAAAGAUUGUUGAGUCGGAAAAGCCAUCAAAGGGAAUGUUAUAUUUUGUGUGUGAAAAAGAUGAAUGUAGGUUCUUUUCUUGGUGUAAUCCCAUUUACAGAGAUGAACCAGAUCGGAAAAAUCAAUUUGUGAGCCAACCUGUUGCAAAACAUUCCUAUGUGAAUGGCGUGCUCUCAAAACUGGAAAAUUUGGAUAAUGAGUUGAAGAACUUAAAAUUGCUAGUUAGAGGUUGUGUUAUGGUAUCUGCUUUUUCUGUUUUACUGUUGUUGAUAUCUACCAAAUAAGACUGUGGAAUUUGGUAGCCAGUUGUAUGGAGUUGCUAAAGCUGAUCAUUUGGCUGUUUCAGCUAGAACCUUAUAAUGCUAUGCUUUCUUGAUGAAGUAUAAUUCGACUGUUUCAACUGCUUUCAAAAUGUUGUAGCUUAAAACUUUGAAUAGAAUACUCAUAAGCAGCAAAUGUUUUAAAAAAUGAACAGAAAAAAAUAAAACAGGCACAAAGUGCCAUUACAGACAAAAGAUUUCCAGAUGUUCAAUAACCUGUAAAAUAACUAGUGAUCAAAGAGGCACGAAGUGCCAUUACAGACAAAAGGUUUAGCACUUGGUGGAAAAUUUCUGUAAAAUAACCUGGCUGCAUAGAGAAUUUCAUUCAAAAGGUACAACCAAAUAGUGGCAACUACUACCAAGUCAAGUGUACAAAAAAUUAGACAAAAUAUUUCCAGACGUUCUACAGGCAACCAAUCAUUCUGCAGGCAUCAUUACAACCAGACGUAAUAUUCCAAAAUGAAAGUGUAAAUACAGAUAGGCAAAUAUUAGGCAAGUAAUUAAGGCUGGACAGCUUUUGCUCUCUUUGGCCUUAACUUCUGCAGGACAUCAGUAACAGUACGAGCCAGAGCUCUUUUUGUUGGUGCAGUGGUGUCAUCAGCCCUAUUACACCCUUGGUUUGUACCAGCUACAGACUGAAAUUAAAACAAAAAGAUAAUUUAGAAAUGUCCCACUGAACUGAUAAGUCUUUCAACCAGUGAAUGUUAUGGAAGGAGUGUACACCUUCCGAGCCUUAUUGCUUGUCUUUGUAGUAGUCCCGGUUGCAGCAGCCUCUUCAGUAAAUGACUGUGGUUUAGUAGAUGACUCAACAAUUGGUUGUGACUGAAUGGAAGGUGUAACACUUGCUUCAGGUGCCUACAAAGAGCAUUUAACAUUAGUAAUAAUAAAUACAAAUGCUGUAACAAUGCCAUUUAAAUGUACAAUGAAAGAUUACCUUGUAAAAUUUGGAGUUAGGGUGAAUGGGAUUCUUGCACGUCCGUGAGUUAUGAUUUGGCUGAAAACACCUCUUGCAAUGCACAGAUAGACCCUUUCUAGUUGAUAUUUGCUCCUUCUUAGGCUCAUCUUGUGCGCUUUGAUGCAUUAAAACAAAAAGAUAAAUUAGAAAUGUCCCACUAAACUGAUAAGUCUACAGACUGAAAUUAAAACAAAAAGAUAAUUUAGAAAUGUCCCACUGAACUGAUAAGUCUUUCAUCCAGUGAAUGUUAUGGAAAGAGUGUACACCUUCCGAGCCUUAUUGCUUGUCUUUGUAGUAGUCCCGGUUGCAGCAGCCUCUUCAGUAAAUAACUGUGGUUCAAUAGAUGACUCAACAAUUGGCUGUGACUGAAUGGAAGCUGUAACACUUGCUUCAAGUGCCUACAAAGAGCAUUUAACAUUAGUAAUAAUAAAUAUAAAUGCUGUAACAAUGCCAUUUAAGUGUACAAUGAAAGAUUACCUUGUAAAAUUUGGAGUUAGGGUGAAUGGGAUUCUUGCACGUCCGUGAGUUAUGAUUUGCCUGAAAACACCUCUUGCAAUGCCCAGAUAGACCCUUUCUAGUUGAUAUUUGCCCCUUCUUAGGCUCAUCUUGUGCUCUUUGACGCAUCUUCUUUGGUCUGCCAAGCAUUCUCCUAACUACAGUGGGGUUUAAGCCCUCUUGUUCACAUGUUAUCCAGCAGGUAUCACUUGGAACAGGUGUGAUAGUGUGUGCAUAUGUCUUCAGAUAUUCUACUCUAGUGUAGCAAGCAUGAACAUAAUCGUUUAUAGGUAAUCUACACACUCUUAUUACAGCACAUGCAUGGGCACAAGAAUAACCUGUUAGUUGAAAAUAACUACAGGUACAAGUCCAUUCAUGCAAAUCAACCACCACACAUUUUCUCGGACCACAAUCUAUCUCAUAUUUGUGAUGUCCGUCCCAUGUCGCAACAAAUGUCCAGUUCAACCUUUGAUUCUUAUCAAUCUUUUCUGCUGUAUUUGGACAGAUUUGUCCAUGAAACUUUUGCAUUCUAGAUCUUUUUGUUUGAAUUCUAUGCAUCAACUUCCUCCUUAUCCAUUCAAGCAUCCAAAUGAUUGGUAACCCUCUUGCUUCUAAUAUAUAAUUGUUGAAUGACUCAUUUAGGUUGUUCACUAGAAUGUCACACUUACUACUUCCUCUAAAAUGUGAUCUACUCCACAGAGUUGGUGGAAUCCGGUUCAGCCAUUCAGCAACUUCUUUAUUUGCCUUUUCCAAGUCAUUCAUUGCCAACACUUGCAGCAGCCCAGAACAUGUCUUUCAUUUCCUUUCCUUUGAACUUUUGGUUGAAAUUUUGAUACAUAUGUCUCAAGCAAAAUCUAUGUUCCGAAUCAGGAAAAAGUUCAUUCACAGCAUGUACUAGCCCUUUCUGUCUAUCUGAGAUAAAUGUCCAAGGAAUGUUAUCCUUUCCCAUGCCCAAAUCAGCCAUUAACAACUCCAAAAACUAUUUCCAGGAGUCAUACCUCUCUACCUCAACCACUGCAACUGCUACUGGCACCAUGUUGUCGUUGCCAUCUCUCCCAAGUGCAGACAGUAAUUGGCCACCAAAUGUUGUCUUAAGAAAACAGCCAUCUAGACCAAUUAUUGGUCUACAACCAUCAAGAAAACCCUGCUUGCAUGCAUGCAAGCAAUAAUAUAAUCUUUCAAAUGUCCCAUUUGAACCUUCAGUUGGUCUGUCCAUCUGAAUCUUGAUAGUAUUUCCAGGAUUUGUGUCUCGGACUGUCGCUGCAUAACUCCAAAGUUUCUGAUACUGCUCCAUGUCCGUGCCAAGUAUCAGAUCAUUUGCCUUACGCUUAGCUCUGCCGACCUUAGCAAUUGAAACAUUGAUCAUUAAGUCUCUCCUGAUGUUAUUCUUCAGCCCUAUCAAAUCACCUCUUGGAUUAUCCCUGAUCUUAUCUUGAUACUUGAUGCUCAAAUAUGCAGCUGUUGCAUGCUUAUUUUUAUACUCUCGAGCACACACAUGCUCACCCUUGAAUGACUUUAUUUGAAAGGUUGAUUCAUAUUGAAUUGGUGUUGCACGAAUCCUCCAUGUACAGCCUUUUGCAAAGUUGGUAAUAAUUUUCUUGGAGUAGUUUUUCACCCAAGUAACUUCAUAUCCUUUUCUGACUAGCCAUUCACGCAACACAAAUCUGAACACUCUAAAAUUAGUAAACUUCUACCCCACUUUCAGCUCAAAGUUUGGCUUCUUAAACUCAACUUUAAGAUUAAAGUCAAGGCAAUCAUCAUCUUCUCUACCAUCAUAUCUUCUUGCAUCCAGCAACUCCUCAUCCAAAAUCACUGGUUCCUGCCAAUUCUCUUCAAUGACAUCAUCAUUCACUUGAUGUUCUAUGUCUGCUCUCAAAUCUGGAUCUCCAACUAUUGAAGGGUCUUUUUCAGUUCUAACAGCUUCAUUUUCUGAUGGAAUUUGUAAUGGUAUUUGAGUUGAAAUAGUUGGUGGAAUUUUCUGAAUCACAUCAAGCCCUUUUGAUUGCUUGGUUUUACUUGUCUUUUUCUUCCUUGCAUCCACACUUUUAGCAGCACUUUUUUCAUCUUUAUUCUCAGUAAAUGAGAAUACGUGCAGAGGGAGUCUUGCUGAAAUAGUGGCCCCAUCAGCUUUGUCCUUGUCUCCAUCAGCUUUUUGGUUGUUGCCUCCACUAGUUAUAUUGGUCUGGUUGUUGUCUCCUGCGGCAUCUUUCUUGGGUGCAAAUAUGUCCUCAUCUUCUAUUGUUUCCAACCCCUCUUUUAAUCAUGCUGGCUCUUUAUCAUCAUCAGUACUUGUAUCUGUCCCUGUAGUAACUACAGUUACCCCACCAUCCUUUGUAUCACUGCCUUUCUUUUUUAUUGUUGUGUCGCUGGAUGUUUCCUUUGUAGAUGUACCAUCAUUGACCCCACCAUCUUCAGGCUCUUUUUCAAAUGGCCCAUCCCCACUGCAAGCAUAAAUUAGUCUUUCUGGUGUCCCCUCAUAUGCCAAAUUCAUCAAUUUAAUAUCAUCAUUGUUUUUAAUUGGAUGUAGGCCACCAUCCAAAUCAACAAAGGGGGCACAAAACCAAAAUGUUGCUCUCGUUGCUCCUUCAUCUACUUUCUUAAACAUUCUGCACAAACUCACUAUGUCUACCUUAUCUUCAACUCUUUCUUUGAAAAUGGCCAUGUGGGUUCCCGUGUAGUGAAGCCUUGGUUUUUCUUUGAAUUUUCCACCAAAGUACAUCUUUAUAUCUACUUUAUCCUUGUUGUUCUCCUCUGUUAUUGCAUGACAAACAAUAAAGUACUCAUUUUUCAGUAAUUUAUCUUUCACAAUUAUACAAAAGCUAACAUAAUACAACAGAUCCAGAACAAAUAAUUCAUUAUACAUGAGAUGGGGGACCACAUUUGACUACAACAUGUUUUCAUUAACUCCUGAAAACUGAUAACAAUACAAAUUUGGACAGAUUCAGUCUUUUGCCAACUACUCUAAUUCGAUAAUACAACAGAUUCCAAGACGAACAACUUAGUUGACUGAGAUUCAAAGACAAUCACAUAUUCAGAUUCAGCAACUAAGAAUCUCCGCUAACAACUCCAGAUUAUAAGGCUUUUCUUUUUCGUAGUCAACCAAACACAAUAUCCUAACAAAUUUGCCAAUUGAUAAUCAAAAUAGCAAAUGUAGGGCAUACUUCAAAAACCUUAAAUUCAUUAACAACAUUAAUAUAUAUAUCAAAAAUCUUAUUUUUGUUAAAUAAUGACCUUAAAAUGUAGUAUGAAACCAGUAAAUCACAAUAAAAAUCCCAAACUACCCCAAACCCCAAAUCGAAAUAGAUGAGGGACGGCAUACAAACCCAUUUUUCUUCGAUUUUUUCAGCAAAUCUUCACUUCCUUGUAGUUCCUGUCGCUGUCGGAGUUUGAUUGCUAUAACAAUCGGGAAUUUGGCUGAUACUUGCCUCUCUCUCUCUCUCUAGGGCUUUUUCUUCUUCUUUGUUUCUCUCUUCAAUCGUUCUGUCUCUUCGUUUGCUCCGAAACAGCCAAACUGACUAAUUCCUUCACCAAUUUUUCGCUUAUAUCGUUAGGGCAUUUAUGUCUUUUCACUGACCUCCAUUUUCAUUAACGAUUUCCGUCGAAAAUGCACUUUCUUUCAAAUCAUGGGGUACCGAUAGGUAUGAUUUGAAACCACGAGGGGUUUUUAUGUGUAAUAGCUAUAUCACAGGGGGCUUUUAUGUUUUUAACCCUAUUUUUUUCCUUUUUUUUGGAUUUACCCUUGACCUUUGCUUCUCGUGUUUUGUCCUUGUGUUUUGAUCGUUUAUGACUUCUUUGCGCAUUUUUUUUACAAGUUUUUUGCUGCAAUGGCUCUUGAAUUGACUUGCUUGGUGAAAAUUUUUGUGUUACAUUUUAUGUCCCUAUAAUUUAGUUCUAUCCAUUUGUGAUAUUUCUUUAUGUCUGUUUUCUUGACCUGAUUGCCAGAUUCGUUUUUCAUUAUUAUUCGUCUUCAUUCCAAUGGGAGCUCGCUGCUCUAAAUUAGGCUUUUGCUGGUGGCCUUCUAACCUCAAAUCCAACAUCGCUUAUUCCUCUGAUUUUGGUAAUUCUUAAAACUAUGUUAAAUGUAUAAAAAUGUAAUAUUUGUUUCCCUUUUCUAAUUUUUUUCUUCUGGGGUUUUAGAGCAACGUGGAGAAAAUGAGAGUAUGAAACUACCAUCACUUAAAGAAUGCAGUUUAGAUGAGCUGAAGAUGGCGACUACAGGAUUCUCAGUUGAAUACAUUGUAUCAGAACAUGGGGAUAAAGCUCUCAAUGUUUGUCUACAAAGGGCAGCUUGAAAAUGACGGCUCUUAGAUUGCUGUCAAACAUUUCAAUAAGUUUGCUUGGCUAGAUUCUCGGCAAUUCCUGGUUGUUAUUACUUCUUUUAAGCAAGGCCCCAACUAUAGUGUUUCACAAAUGUGAUACUAUCUUAUUUAUGUACGCGCUUUGAUAUAGCCAUAGUACUUAGUUAACCAUGAGUAUGGUGGAUGUUAUUCAGAUUUAAGAUUUGUUGUAUGCAAUUUGUAGGUUGAUAAGUGAGGAAACUUAUUGUAGGUUGAUAUGAAUUAAAACAUUGAUUAUACGGUUGUUAUACCUUUGUUUAAGGUCAAAUGGGAUGAAGUAUUUUGUUUCUAUCAAUAAUAUAAAGUCGAUUUCAUUUAUUUUCUUACUCACUUUGGCCCUUACUGUUUUGCAUUUUCUUGCUUACAGCUCUAUUAACUCUCCUCCUUCACUUUUCCUUUUUUUUUCUAAUUUUGAGAAUGAUCUGAGAGCAUGGAAAGAUAGUAAAAUAUAACCCCUAAUGAUGCUUAUAAGUUUUAAGUAGCUACAUUAUUAGGAAAUUAAUUGAACUCGUAAUUAAAUCAUAAUGCAACCUAACCUUGAAAUAGCAAGGGUAGAUGACAACUUAGACAGAGUAUUAUAAUAUUUUGAUUCUUUAAUGAGAAUGAUACUUACUAUUUUUUAUAUGAUUACACACUUAAAUGAAAGUUUACUCUAAUUUUGGUUUAAUAUUUUUUUUGGUUUAUUUGUAACUAAUUCCAUCAAGAAAAACAAAUUUCAUUAAUGAUCCAUUUUGAAUUAGUACAAAUUAUUUUAUUAAAUUGGGCAUCUCCAUCCUUUUUCCCACCGUGCGUAGCACGCUUUAUCCCUCCUAGUUCUAUAUAUGUUGAUAAAGGAAAAAAAAUGAUGUAAAAUAACAAAGCAACGUAAAAGACCGAUGUGGAUCCGUAGGGGGAUCCGCGUGUGUCGAGUCGCGGAUCCAAGCCUCCUUCCCAAGAUCCAUAUUGGUCCAAAAAUCAUCAGACACCCAUUCUACAUCAAUUUCUUAUAAGCUCCAUUCAGUUUUAAUUAGGUGUUCCGGCCAUUGAGAACAAGAGGCUAGAACGGUUAUCAGGAAAACUGUUCGGGAUGAUUUUGUGUAUAAUGCAUACGACGUAACUUUAUUUGUACACAAUAUAACUUACUUUCAAUAACGUGUAAUUAUAGAAUAAAAUUUUAUAGGUCCCACACAUAGUGUAAAAAACGAGAUACAAAAUGAAAUCUGAAUCUUGCACUUUUUUUGGCCAAAUUUUGGCCAUGAACUGCCAGGAAAGGACUGCCCCUCUUGCAGCCAUUGAUGUUUCGAUGACGAUUUGGAUUGCUGUAGAUCUGGACUGAUGAUGAACCGAAGAUGGUGACACAAAGUAUUGUAUAUGUACAGACCAUCAGACAAAGGGAACACAUUGAAAAGCAAUUAUCGCAAUUAAACCAGUUAGUAUUUUUCUUGCUAUCAGUUAAUUAAUUUCCAAUUAACAAGCCACUGUGCAUCUAUUCUAGGUCAUUUCCUACUGCUCAUGCCUCUGAAACUUGACUCUGUUAAAGUUCUUCCACCUGAAUGGCCAUUUUCGUAGCCGUGUUCAUUUGACUAACAUGAAUGAUUGUGAGCCAUUUUCAAGACUAUUUUGUGUAUUAAGUCCAACAUGUCCAUUUUAGAAUUCAAUUAGGAUACUAUUAGGAGAUGACUACUAUUUUGAGGAGCUAGAUAACUAACUAAUAGAAUUAAUUCACAACGUAGCAGGCAAUCCUUCUGGAAACUGAGGGGGCAUAGACAAUCUUUGGGGAUAGAGGAUUUGAAACCCUAGAAUUGUAUUUCUUUUUUUUUUUGUCCUAAAAAUUGGAUAACUGAACUUUUGUUUAAGUGGAUAUAAUCAACCAAACCAACUGUUUAAGGUCCCGUUGGGAUUACAAUGACUUAUAAAGAAACACUAUUGAUACAAGUACUUUUAACCAAACAAAGUACUUUUAAAUUAUCAAAAAUGGAUUCAUUAAAUUAUGGGAAAUUGAUUAUCAAAUACCCUAGAAUUAUUUUUAAUACUUAAAAGUGUUGUUUUUAUUAUAAAUACACCACAACUCUAAACGAGGCUAAAUCAGAAUUGACAUGAAAAGAAUAUGGUAUUGCUGUCGGAUAGCUAUCUCCACAUUGAAUAGUUUCUUUUAAAAAAAAAUUUCUGAACAUUGAAUUCAGCUUUCGGGCUUAACCUGUCAUGGAAUAGAUUUACACACCGUGACAAUCGUAUAUCUUGCUGCUACGAGCCAUACAUAAUGCUCUUAGUGGCAAGAACUGCCAUCGUGGCAAAAUGAUUGGUGGGUGUAAAAUCUUUUUGUUUUUCCUUCUUUCUUUCUUGCAUCUUUUUAUGAUACUUGAGCCAUUAAUUGUUUUUCUUUUUGUUUUUUUCAUUCCAGAUCUGCCAACUUGCCCUUAAGGAUCAAUGAAAUUUAGGAGUACAAGUUGACCAAGUCACUUGAUUUGAACUCAACGUUCAUCAAGCAGGAGUCAAUUUUGAGCUUACUUGUUUGUCUACAAGUCAAUUUCGAGUCAUGAAAUGUUAAACUCUUGUAUGUAUGUUUGUAUGUUUCAAAUAUCAAUUAAAUCUCCUGUUUGAAACUUAUGGAAUAUUAAUUUAUCUUAUGUAAGAUUGAUUAGGCUUGAGAUCUUGGCUCGAGCUUGAGUAUGAUAAAAUGAAGUCAAGUUCAACUUUUAAAAGCUCGCUAGAGCUCAACAAGCUCGAGCUUAGAUAUUUUAUCUCGAGCUCAAUUUAACUCAAAUGCAUCUUGUCGUAAUAUGAUUUCUUAAAAUAAAAAACCAUACUAAGUUCCAACAACAUAAAUGAUUCAGCUAAGGAAUCAAAUCAAUUUCAAACUUAUUAAUAUUGGACUUUGGUAAAAUUAAUACAAAACUAAUAUAGCUUGAAAAAUUUAAAGAGUUUUGUCAUUUGUGCAUGUACAAUGAAGAUCGAAGAGAUGAACACGGAGCCACAACCUGAUGUAGAAUUUGGGUAAAUUAUCUUUUAAACAAUUAGCUUGUGGUGUAUUGUGAUUUCAUUAGCACGAAGGUUUUAGUGAUUGCAAAAGAUUGCAGUCAAUGUAUAGUUAAUGUCUUCCUCUUGUUACUUAUUGCACGUUUGUUGAUUUUAUACAUCAAAAUUUGUUAAUUGUUCUGCACUUGUUCUUCGAAUCCCAAAUAGAUUCUCAAGAUUUCAUUUUCAUUGGUUUCUUACCCUAGUUAUUUUUUUCCUUGAAUUGAAGGUCAAGUUCUAGAACCAAAGAUCCUUCCACAGUAUUAGGGUUGUUUCUGUUAUGGACCAGAAACCAGAGGAACCAGAAUUUGCGUGAAGCAGAAUAAAUCAAGCUUAAUGAGAUGGGAUCAAUCAACAAUGAAUCAAUGAAAUAGUGAACGAAUGAACUUCAGCUUUCAUUAAUUGAAUUCUGGUAACGUAUUACAAGAACAGAGAUAAUGGAUUUAGCUAAGAAGGUGGAAGAAUUUGAAGGAAAAAUUGAGAGGGAAAAUGAGGAUUGCUCCUCACGUCAAUACAGCAAAUCUGAAUUCAAAACUCUAAGUCUGAGCUCCAUGAAGCAGACAUGCCUGCUUAUAAAGCUAUUAAUUUCUAACAAACUAUUAACUAUGCUAAUAAGAAUCGAACACGUGUCCCAACUACAGCUACAAUUUGCUUCAAGUUGCUGCGUCUCUGGGCUUUUUGUUAGAACGGAUGAAACCCCAGCAAAGGCGUGGUUUGGUAGACGCGCUUUUUCUGGAACUCCUCCUUUUGAUCACGCCUUCCGUUACUGGAUUCCACGCUUCCAGCUUUCUUACUUCCUAUUGCAUACUUCUGAUGUCAUUCCAAUUCCCGCGCUUCAUUACAAUGCCUUCCCCUCCUAAGACCCUUUUUCUCAAGGUCGGAAUUGAGGAAAUUUCUCCCUUAUCUGCUCAGCAUCUUCCCAAGUUGCUUCUGCAGGUUCAGUGCCCCACCACUGAAUAAGCCAUUGAGUAGAGGCUGCAUUCCUUCUCUUGAUCAUCCUCCUGCAUAGUAGUGCCACAGGUUCCACUCUAAUCUGCCCUCUCUCAUCAACGUCUGGUAAUUGUAGUGUAGGAGUGGUCUGGUCCCGUAGCUUCUUCUUUAACAAAGACACGUGAAACACAGGAUGAAUCCUUGAUGUGGCAGGGAGUUUGAGCCUGUAUGCCACCUUCCCAAUCCUCCCCUCUAUACAGUAGGGCCCAAAGUACUUAGCUGAUAGUUUGGUGUUGUUUCUGAUCAUCACAGAUGAUUGUCUGUAGGGCUGUAACCUCAGGUAUACCCAGUCCCUUACCUGGAACUCCCUUUCACUUCUGUGUUCAUCAGCAUAUUUCUUCAUUCUUUCCUGAGCGACCUUCAGGUUGUGCUGCAGAAGUUAAUCCAUUUUUUUCCUGUCCCUCACCUAAUCCUCUACUGUUGCUACCUUAGUUUGCAUAUAUGGUCCAAGAGCUAGCUGGGGAGGUUUGGUCCCGUACAAAGCUUCAAAGGGGCUCAUUUGUAUAGCAGUGUGGAAGGUGGUGUUAUACCACCAUUCAGCCAAAGAUAACCAGGAGUUCCAUUUCUUAGGCUCUAGAUGAGCCAUACACCUGAGAUACAUUUCUAGUACUUGGUUUACCCUUUCUGUUUGCCCAUCUGUUUGAGGAUGGUAAGCUGUGCUAAGGCUCAAUCCUGUUCCUAACAGAGUGAAUAGUUCAGUCCAGAAUUGGCUGACAAAAACCUUGUCCCUGUCUGAGAUCAUACUCUGUGGAAUGCCAUGCAAUUUACUAACAUGAUCCAGGAAAACUCUAGCUACUUUAGGAGCAUCAAAAGGGUGAGACAAGCUCAUGAAAUGAGCAUACUUAGUAAACCUGUCCACCACAACCAGGAUGGUGUCUUUCCUCUCUGACUGGGGCAGUCCCUCUAUGAAAUCCAUGGUGACAUGGCUCCAAGAGUGCUGAGAGAUAGGGAGUGGUUGGAGCAAACUUGGGUAGGCCACACGUUCAUCCUUGCAUUUCCUGCAUGUAUCACACUGUAGUAUAGCUGUCUUGAUCUCCUUGAACAUGCCUAGCCAGUGGAAUAGCUGCUUAGCUCUUAUCUAGCUAGCCUGUAUGCCUGAGUGCCCCCCCAGCUGAGAGUCAUGAAGGGCAGUGAUAAGUUUCUUCCUUAUUUCUCCCUCCUUCCCCACUACAACUCUUCCCUUAUACCUUAAAAUUCCACUCUGAUAGCUGAAAUCUGAGUCUGGUUCUGGACAUGCCAGGGCUCCCCUGAUGAGAUCUUGAACCCAGUUAUCGCCCACAUAACUUUCUAUUACCUCCUUCAUCCAUUCUGGUAUGACUGUGGUAGUUGCUACACACUCAGCUUCUUCUUUCCCCAACCUGGAAAGUGCAUCAGCCACUACAUUUUCUUUUCCUCUCUUAUAGCAUAUCUCAUAACUCAAUCCCAUCAGUUUAGUCAGCCACUUCUGUUGGAGGGGAGUAGUAAUCCUUUGUUCCAACAGAUACUUCAAGCUUUGGUGAUCAGUGUUGAUGAUGAAAUGGUGCCCCUCCAAGUAGUGCCUCCACUUGGUGACUGUUGUGACUAAGGCCAACAAUUCUUUCUCAUAAAUGGAUAAUCCCAAGUUCCUUUGUCCCAGACUCUGACUGAGAAAAGCCAAUGGUCUUCGAUUCUGCAUCAGAACAGCUCCUAUACCUCCAUAGCAAGCAUCUGUUUCGAUCACAAAGGGUUGGAAGAAGUCUGGGAGAGCCAGGACAGGAGUGUUACACAUGGCUAACUUCAGCUUCUGGAAAGCAUCUUCAGCCUCCUCUCCCCAUUGGUAACCAUCUUUCUUGAGAAAGGUAGUCAAUGGCUUGGCAAUAGCACCAUAUCCCUUGACAAAUUUCCUGUAGUAACCAGUCAAACCCAAAAAUCCCUUCAGUUGCUUGGUGUUACCUGGUUUUGGCCAUUGCAUCAUACUGUCUAUCUUCUUAGGAUCAGCCUUUACUCCCUCUACUGAAAUAAUAUGGCCUAGAUAUUCCACCUGCUUCUGGGCAAAAGAGCAUUUGCUCUCUUUUGCAAAGAGUUGGUGUUGCCUCAGGAUCUUUAGAACCUCAAUAACAUGCUUGACAUGCUCCUCCAGUGAGGGACUGUAGAUUAGUAUAUCAUCAAAGAAUACCAACACAUACCUUCUGAGUUGCUUCUGGAAUACCUGAUUCAUCAGUCCUUGAAAGGUUGCAGGUGCAUUAGUUAGCCCAAAUGGCAUGACCUUAAAUUCAUAUAGCCCUUGAUAUGUUCUGAAGGCUGUUUUGGGAAUAUUUUCUUCACGUACCUUAUUUGAAAGUACCCUGCUCUGAGGUCAAUUUUGGAGAAGUAUUUGGAUCCAUGCAGUUCAUCCAGUAGUUCAUCAAUAAGUGGUAUUGGAAACUUGUUUUUGACUGUGAGGUCAUUCAAUUGUCUAUAGUCCACACAGAAUCUCCAUGUGCCCUCCUUUUUCUUGACCAAAAGUACUGGUGAAGCAAAAGGGCUACUGCUCAGUUGUAUGAUCCCUGAUUGUAACAUCUCUUGUACUAGUUUCUCAAUUUCAGCCUUCUGGAUGUAGGGACACCUGUAGGGUCUAAUUUGGAAUGGCUUUGCCCCCUCUUUGAGUGUGAUGCUGUGAUCUUGGCUCCUCUCAGGAGGUAGUCCCUGAGGUUCUUGAAAUACAUCCCUAAACUCCUGCAGUAACAUCCCCAUUUUUUGUGGGGUUGACUCCUAGUUUGGUUCCUUAUCCUCUAUAGGACUCACCUGUGCCAGAAUCCCAUAUGCUUGUUUCCUAGUCCACUUGUAUAAUCUACUUCCCCUUAUCAGUUUCAAUUGUACUGUGUUACCUUCCCCUCUUAGCUCCACCUGUUGCUUUCCCUUUUUGAAACUUCAUACUCAGUCCUCUAAAGUCAAAUUCCAUUGGGCUAUAUCUAGCUAACCAAUCCACUCCCAGUAUCAUAUCGCACCCCCUAGCCUCAGAGUAUUGAACUGAUGUUGGAAUUCAUACCCCUGCAUCCUCCAUACCACAGGGUUGGUAAGGCUCUUAGACUGCAAUUUUUCUCCAUUUGCCACUCUAACUGAUAGAGCCCCACCCUUUGUUCCCAAUUUCAUGCUUCUAGCCACUUGUUCAUCAAUGAAACAAUGGGUACUGCCAAUGUCAACUAGUGCAAAAAUGGUUCUACCUUUAAUCAUUCCCUUUAUUCUGAUGGUUUGGUGCUCACUUCCCCCUGCUAAUGCAUGGAUAGAAACUUCCAUGUGUUCAUUCUCUAAUUCCCCCCCCAAUACAGUCACAGAAUAUUUCAGUCUUCUCCUUCUUCUCCCCUUCCACCUCAGUAACUGCUAUCUUCUCAUCUCCCAUAACCAAUAGGUUCAAAUGUGAUUGUCUGCACACAUGCCCUAUAGUAUAAGGUUCAGCACAUUUGAAACAAAGGCCCUUCUCUCUCUUGUGGUUGAGUUCUGCUGGUGUGAGUUUUUUAAAUUGGUUCUGAGUAUGGGGGUGGUUAUUAUAAGGUUUGGGAAUCUGCUUGUCAGGGGGUUUUGAAUAGCUUGGGGCUUUGAACAGGGGUUUCUGGAAGUUGGAGUUAUAGGUAGUGGAUUUGUGGAUUUUUUACAAUGCUCUCAGGUUCCUCUCUUGUAAUUUGGCAGCCUCUAUAGCAUCUGCUAAUGUUUUAGGUUUGGCCAUCUUUACCAUGGUUACUAUCUCCUCCUUCAAACCACUUAGGAAACAGGUUUUAUAAUAACAAUCUUGUUGAUGAGGAAGGGAAGGCAUUACCAGGGCUUUGAGUAUUUCGAACUUCUCCAGGUAGUCAGCUACUGAACCUGUCUGCAUCAGUUUGUUGAAUUCCUCUAUAGCUUCUUCAGGGGUGCCUUCUCCAAAUCUCUCACAAAGUGCAUUGCAGAGUUCUUCCCAAUGAAUAACCUCCCUUCCAGAAAACAUGCCGUGGAACCAUAUAUCUGCUUUGUCUCUGAGAUAAAGUUCUGCAACUUCAGUUCUCGUUUCUUCCUCUAUUCCAUUGAUUUUGAAAUACUUGUUGGCCUUCCUGAUCCACUCCCUGGGGUUCUCUCCAGUGAAGGUUGGUAGAUCCACCUUAGGAAGUCUGGUGAAUAUUUUGCUCUCCUUAGCCUCUGACUUAUCCAUAACUCCCUUCUGCGCCUCCCUUCUCCUGUUAUCUUCCUUAUAUCCUGAAUCAGACUCUGAGUUGCUGCUCUCUACCUCCUUUCCUUUGUUGUUCAGCUUUGCUAACAUUUGUGCCAUCAUGUUCAUCAUACCUUCGUAUUUCUGAUCCAGGUUUUUUAGGGCUUUUUCAGUGUUCUCCUGCUUGUGUUCCAUGAUCCUCACAGCUUGAUCCAGUCCAUCACUUCUGUUAGCAAAAGUUCUAACUACACUCCCUAGCUCAGUUAUCUCUUUCCUCAUCUCAUCUUGAUUUUUAGUCAUUUCUCCCAAUGGCUUGUAGCUAGCUCUGAUACCACUGUUAUGGACCAGAAACCAGAGGAACCAGAAUUUGCAUGAAGCAGAAUAAAUCAAGCUUAAUGAGAUGGGAUCAAUCAACAAUGAAUCAAUGAAAUAGUGAACGAAUGAACUUCAGCUUUCAUUAAUUGAAUUCUGGUAACGUAUUACAAGAACAGAGAUAAUGGAUUUAACUAAGAAGGUGGAAGAAUUUGAAGGAAAAAUUGAGAGGGAAAAUGAGGAUUGCUCCUCACGUCAAUACAGCAAAUCUGAAUUCAAAACUCUAAGUCUGAGCUCCAUGAAGCAGACAUGCCUGCUUAUAAAGCUAUUAAUUUCUAACAAACUAUUAACUAUGCUAAUAAGAAUCGAACACGUGUCCCAACUACAGCUGCAAUUUGCUUCAAGUUGCCGCGUCUCUGGGCUUUCUGUUAGAACGGAUGAAACCCCAGCAAAGGCGUGGUUUGGUAGACGCGCCUUUUCUGGAACUCCUCCUUCUGAUCACGCCUUCCGUUACUGGAUUCCACGCUUCCAGCUUUCUUACUUCCUAUUGCAUACUUCUGAUAUCAUUCCAGUUCCCACGCUUCAUUACAGUUUCCGGUGGCGAAAAAAUUUGCUGUAAAAGGCAACGUUUAUCGAAUUCUGUUUUCAUUCAUCGAUGCCUCUGAGGAAGUGCAGGCGCUCAAGGAGGGAAAAUGGCGCUAUUUGGAUGAAUCAUUAAGCUUUAUUGACGAGCCUACUGUCGUCGUUGCUUCUUCCAAUGGUUUUCUCCUUUGCCGUACUGUUGAGUACCAAGAGGAUGUUACAGUUGUAACAUCAGAAGGUGAAGAAAAAAGCUAUUUCAUUUGCAAGCCGGUCACAAGCAUUGUUCGCCGUCGUGUGUUGCGGUCGCGGUUGUUCCACAUUCUUCGCGGUAUAUCGGUUGAAUAUCGAGUGAUACGUAUAUUAGCACAUAAAAAUUGCUAAAAAAUAUGCAAAAAAUUAUUGAAAAUAAAAAUACCAUAAAAAUCAUAAUUUGAAAAAAUAUCAGAAUGGACUCGAAUAUUUUAGCUCAUUCCAUACAUCAUGAUUCAAAUCGGUCAAUAACAAUCGAGUCACAGUGAAUCGUUACAAAUAUGGAAUUAUCCAUGAUUCAGGGACUUGUAUAAUACUGGUCCUUUCCGUUUCGAUUAUAACUCAGUCGAGUCAUAUCGGACUCGGCCACGACUCGGGGCCACUCGGCCAGAUGGCUAACCAUGGUCGCAAGACAAUUUCAACGACUUCCAAAGACUCACAAGCCAGCUGUGGUUUGCCAUCUUGCCUUUAUUAGCAAAGGAGAUAUGUGCUAUCUCUGGAUGCUGUUUAUUUUGAGGUAGUUCAAGCAGCAAUAGUGCCAAAUCAUAGGCAAUUUACUAAAACGCUACUUGUUGAAACGUUUAGUUUCCUAACAAACAAAUGGAGUGAGGCUACCAUAGUUUCUUCUGAUUCAACCUUUCUUCUGAAUAGUGGAUUGGAUUAUCAAGCCGGAUUUGUGAUUGAUGAUCUUCUAGAAUGCUUGGAACUAUGAUGCCAUAGGUCAUUUCGAUUAUGCCCUGUUGGCAUAUGAUCCUUGUGCAACCGUGACAGGACGCCACGCUUGACAGUAAUAGAGAGGCCAGUAAGGCUGGAUGGGAACAAGUUUCAGGCUAUGAGUGAUCGCUUUGGUCCCUGUGUGGGUAAAGUACACUUUGCUAGAUGCGAUAAGGUAAAUUUUGAGGUGUGGGUUCGGAAGGAAUUCAGGAGGAGAACUGAUUGGAUUUGGGUCAGGAAGUAUCGGGUGAGUUCAAAUAGGAUCCUCAAAGAUGUUCCUAAAUGUUUUUACAUAAUAUUUCGGAUUGAUGAAAUUUACUUUCCGCCAUUGUUCAAAAUUUUCACCCAUGGGAUUCUCGGUUGGUUUUCAUGGCCUUGCGUGACUCGGCAUUUUGGUCCACGAUAUGGAGUGACCGUGGGCAGAAGAAGGAAAUUCUGGAGGAUUUUUGGGCUUCUACAGCAUCUGGAUAUUGCUUUUAUGAAUGACCUUCUUCUUGCUCCCUCGUGUCGCCUUCUGUUAAUCCUUCUAUUCUAGAUUGGGUUUUGUUCUGUUUUGGUGCCUAGGUUUCAUCUUGGAUUAAGAUAGAUUUUGCACCUGAUGUUUAUCAUUUUCCAAGAUUGUCAUACUGGAAACUAUGGACUUAUAAGAAUUACUACUAUAAUAUACAGCACUAUCUCCAUAAUUGGCUUUACUAAAACUGUUAGCUUGAAGUUUUUUUUUCACAUUUAGCAAAUACUUUCUACUGCCAUUCAAAUUUCUUGUGGUCUAUAACUUUGUCUCUAACAGGAGCUUAUGGUGGUGUUUGCUCCCGGUGGAUGAAUUUAAAAAUUGGUUGUAUCAUAUUAUUGCACAUAUUUACAUUACACAGCAAAUAAUACCUAUGUUUGUGAAAAAUAAGGAACAGCAACUCAUGUAAUGUUGGUAAUUGUUUGGCGCGGGAAAAUUGCAAAAUUAUGGACAUUACAACUUAAGUGAUUUUUUUUUUCUGUAAAUUACAACUUAAGAGUUAGUGACAAUUGAGGAAAAAAAUGAGAAUAUGAGAAGAAUGAAAGAUAAAUGGAUUAAAAAAAUCAGCAACUCUGAAAUUUAUGGAAUUCGGAAAUUGAAAUUUUGGGAAAGAAUGAACAACUUGGAUAGACAGAAGAGAUGGGACAAAACUGUGAGAAAUAAAUAACAGUUGCAAUGAUGGGACUAUUUGGUGAAAGGAAAUGGUUGGUUACAACUGUUUUAAAUUUGGAUUAAUCUUUCCAACACUGAUAAUGUUUACAUUAUCACUGUUGGAUGAAUAACAACUAUGUAAAAUUUGAAUUUGAAAUUCAACUUUUGCACAUAUGUCAUAGAUCUAAUGUUGGUGUAUACACUGUCAGUAUAUACAAGAUUUAAGAUGCGUUUGAUAAAAUUGAAAUUUGAAAUCUGAAAUCUGAAUACAUUAAGUUAUUGAAUUGUUAAGUAUUAAAUCUAAUACAUUUGAGUGCAUAUCACAUUCAGUGAUAAAUGAAUAGCUUAUCACUUAAUUUUGAGAGUAAGUUUUGCCUAGAAAAUUCAAUACCACUUAAUUAAUUCAGAUGUUCAAUUUUUGGUUAUCAAACGAUCUGAAUCCAUUAAUUUUUUUCAGAAUACUAGAACCAUUAAAUUCAAGUGUUAACUGGGUUAUUAAAUAGGGUCUUACUCUUUAAAUUUUGCUAGUCAUUUGAUUUUAUUACUAACACUUUCAAUUUUUCACCCUUCAAAUUUUGGCCUCAAUUGUUGCUUAGGAUGAGUAUCAUUCUUUUAGGAAGAUUUUUAUAGUCUUUUCCACCUAUAAAGGGAAGUAAGUGUGAGUUUCAAAAUUAAAGGGAUGUUAGGUCAAAAUUGUUGGAAACCUCAAAGGAGGUUUCUGAAAUUAUCUCAAAAAAAUUAUUAGUUUUCCCAUAUCUACCAAAUUUGGUGCCUAUAUUUAAAAGGAAAAAAAAAAUCCUGGAUGUGCCAAACUAUGUUUCCCACAUCCCUUGUAACUUUUAAUAUGGGAAAAUGUUGUAUGCAUUCCUAUUUUUAUUAAUCGCACUCCUACUAUCACUUUAAUCAUAUAGCUUUCAUUCAUUAGACUCUAUGAUAAAACAAAUAGUAGGAGUGGAAAUAACAAAAAUAGAGUGCAAAUAACAUUUCCCUUAAUAUGGGUAAAAUACAGAAAAGGGCUUCGCCAAAAGUUAACCGGUCACCCUAUAAUUUUAAAAUAUCCACAUAACCCUUCGUAUUCUAAAUUAACUAGUGCUUUUGGCACACUCUACAUGCAUACUUAUUUGAAAAAUAUAUAAUUAACUUUUUAGCAAUAAGUUGUUCUAUGUAAAAUCAUGUUAGGGCAUGUAUGUUUUUUUUUUCUUUCAGAAAUCUAUAAAACUGCUCUUUUUUUAAUUUAGGAAGUUAUUAUAUUUAAAAUCGUGGUAGAGAAAAAGAAGGGAUGUGGGUAGUUGUACUUAAAAGUUCAAUAAUGGUAGAGAAUGAGAGGGAAAUUGAGUAAUUUGAAAACUAACUCUGGAUGAUAAUUUUGGUAUAACAAUAAAUUAUAUAAAUUGUUGGGUAAAAUACCAAAAAACUCCUUGUGGUUUACUAAAUGUUUAAUUUAACUCCACCUGGUUUGGAAACCUACACUAUAACUCCCUGUGGUUUCAACUAAUUUGAAAAUUGGACAAAAAGCAUCCAAUCUAACGGUUGUACAUGAAAUGUCAAUAUUGCCGCUAUAUAAGUGAACGCCCUAUGGUUUGUUGAAUGUUCAAUUAACUCCCUCUAGUUUGAAAAAUUACACUAUAACUCCCUGUGAUAUGGAUUAAAUUGAAAAUUGAAUGAAAAGCAUUUUACAUAGUAGAGGCAAUAUUGACAUUUCACACACAACUGUUAGAUUGGAUACUUUCUGUCCAAUUUUCAAUUUAGUCAACACCACAGGGAAUUAUAGUGUAGGUUUCCAAACUAAAGGGAGUUAAAUUAAACAUUUAUCAAACCACAUGGAGUUUUUGAUAUUUUACCCUAAAUUGUUUACACAAAAGGGAUCUCCCCCAUUACAUAUACCGUAGAUAGAUGUAGAAAGUUGAUUUUUAACCUACUAUGUUACCAGUAAAAAGUAAAAUACCCUCAUUUAUUAAACAAGUUGUAUUUUUUUAUUAUUUCUUAUAUUUUCUUUCUUUUCAUUCCUUUUUUUUAUUUAGAAAGACUACCUAUUCCUUAGCCUCCUUUUUUUUUCUUUUUUUAAUAUUCCUUUUUCUUCCUUUUUCCCUAUGCUUUCAUUCACCACCCCAGAACCUCCACCACCACCUCUUGCUAUCUCCUCCCUUUUCCUGCUCUGUCCUCCCUGACCAUCACCUCCUCCCCCCUCCUCCCCUCUUCCUUCUCCCCCUCCAAUAAUUUUAAAAUAACUCAAAAUUUCUAACAUUUUUAAAAGCACCCUAAGCUGGUUAGGCAAUAAUGAAACGAAAAGGAAGAAAAAGUCAAACCCAUACCGGAAUUUUAACACCAAAAAGACCAAAAAGAAAAGGAAUGACAAUGAAAAGAAAAGAAAAAAAUUUAUGGGUCACUUGCAAAUGAUGCACCAAUUUUACGCUAUGUUGUUAAACUUGGAUCGGAUAGCGAUUCGGCUAAACUACUGGAUUAGCGGUCAACUAGUAGGAUCAAUUGGACCGUUCUCAAAAAUCUGUUGACGUCAACAUGAUGUCUUAAUUAUUUUAUAUUUUUAUAAGUUUCAGAAAUAUUGAAAUUAAGUUCUUAGUUAUAUUCGGCCAAUCAUACAAAAUGUUCCAAAAACAUUAGAUUUGAAAUCAAAUAUACACCUAAUAAUUAUAUAUAAAAAUGUAAAUUCAUCGUUAAAAUAUGUCCAUUCCCCAAAACUACAUGAAAAACUAAAUUAAAAUAAAUUAAUCCAAGUUGGAAUCACUGCUACUAAAUUGAUAAGAUGAUAGGGAUGAAAACAUCUUGAUUCAGAGAUCAAUCAAAAAAGGGAGUGAUUUUGGUAUUUGCAUUAAGUGGGUGGUAUUUUCUUAUUUCGAUUUAUAAAUGAAAGUGUUACAAUUUUGGUAAGUCAAAUUAUGUGUACCUUGGAGAUGAAACUAGCUUACAAGCUGAAGCGAAAGCACUACUCAUUGGGCUGAAGUUAUGUGUACAGAGAGGCUUCAUUGAUAAUCUGAUUAUUGAAUCAGAUUCCAUGAUGUUAGUACGUAUUCUGUUGGAAAAAUGCCGGUGUCCGUGGUCUGUCCGUGGGGAGGUGGAGCAGAUAUUGCAAACAGCUCGGGGAUGUGCCAAGUUCACACAUUGCUAUUGGGAAGCUAACAAGGAGGCAGAUGUAUUGUCGAACGAAGGGUGUGCUAUUCCUGACCGGUUGGUUUGUAUCUAUGAACGUAUAGCUGAAUUGCUAUCAGUAGCCAAGGGAGCUUAUCGGUUAGAUAAGCUUGCAUUUCCUUAUUUUCGAAGAUGUAGGGUCAAAUCUACUACUACCAAUGCGUAGUUUGUACCUCCUUUGAGUUUGAAUAAUAAUAAUAAGUAUUUUGUUUAAAAAAAUUAUGUUUGGGAAAAAUAAGAAAGAAAUGUUUGAGAAUUGGUUCAACCAAUCAAAUUAGGUCACUAGUUUAGCCAAUUUUCAACGGUUUGGACUAAUUUUUGACCAAAAUAGUUUUGUACUAUAAACCAACUCGGGAAAAAGGCCGGUUCAUGAUCGGAUCAGUCGAAUUGACCGAUUCACGAUCGGACUGGUCGAAUCGACCAGUCCUAUCCGAGUAUAACAACACUAGUUGUAGGUCAAAUUCCAUAUCAAUUUAAUACAUGCUGAGAUUAUAUAGACAUUUCAAAACCAUAGGGUGGCCAAUUAAGCUUGGCAAAAUCACAUGAGGAUUUUUCUAUAUUUUACCCUUUGAUAUAAAUAAAUAUAUAUAUAUAUAUAUAUAUAUAUAUAUAUAUGUAUAAAUAAAAUCAGCUCCUUGCAAGGGCGCCCAUGUUGUGCGCCUUAGUUAGCUAGAAGGCUUUUGUUUCCUUGCCUUCUUUUUUUUUUUUAAAUUUCUCCAUCAAAAUAAGAAAUAAUUUCAAAAACCUCCUUUGGGGUUUCUAACAGUUUCACUGUCCUAUUUUGAGAUUUUAAAAAUAUCACAACCGCCCUUAAAACUUAUUUUCUUUUAACAAAUCUACCCAAUUCAAAAAAAUCAAGAAUAAAAAAAUGAUUUCUAGAGUGAGAAGAUUAUUUCAUUCCAAAAGUGACCUUCCACUUAGUACUAGUUAGUUGAUUCAAAAUCAAAAUGGAAUAUUAGUUAAAAAUAAAAAGUAAAGGCCAAAGUUAGGAAGUAUCACGUAAUUGAGGGAAAUACAACACCAGCAUGACUAUAGUAGAAUUCGGUAACAAUGGCUAUUUUCAAGCAAACUACAUAAAAAAAAAAAAAACAAAAUCAAAGAUCUAGAGAGGAAAUUUUGUUACUUCGGAAUCAAGAUUUACAUGUAGAAUUCCUAAACUCUUAGUAUUGGUCUUUGAAAGAUUUUGAACAAAAAUUAGACAAGACAAAGUAUGGCCUCCUCAAGAAGAAAUACCACAAUAGAUUGCUAAUCAUAAAAUAUGCUAAAAUAUGUUUUUUUUUUAAUUAUUGUUUCGCUUAUGAGUUCCUUUAUUUCACAUAAUUAAUAAGAAAUUUCCAUUGUUUGUAAUUAAAGAGUAACAGCUUUCAUGCAAUGUUUGGAUUAAUAGAAAGGAAAUGAUUUUAAUGGAAAAGAAAGGAAAUCAAAGUAGAGAAAAUCGAAUUCUAACCUUCCUAUUUGGAUUACAUAUGCAAAGAAAAGAAAAGAAACACCAAAUAUUUUGGAAAAGAAAGGAAACAAAAAGAUUAUGUGUGAUUACAUUUUCUUUGUAAUUUAAUAAAAUCCAAUUGUAAACAUCUUUUAACACUUCACCCUCUUUUUUGCGUAUUUUUUAUAUGUAUCUAGUUAUUCUCGUGAAAAUUCUAUGAUGUAAUAAUAUACCAAAAGGAAAAUUAAUCUUUUUUUCAGGAAAGAAAUUACAAGAACUACUAAAAUAUAGAAAAAGAAUCUUAAAAUGUUAACAAUUAUCAUUAAAAGAUUUAGUAUUCAAGAUUUUCAAAUUUAUUGCAUUCCAAUUUAUGGUUAAUUUAGUUAUAAGUGGCUCAAUUGUGCCCCCCCCCCCCCCAUAUAACCAUGUAAAAUCUCCUAAAUUGUAAGAGUCAAUGAAGUAAGCAUAUUUUUAAAAUUUCGGAGCGGGGUAGCAAAAGUGUAGAAAUCUCAUAAUAAAGUAUUUCCUGAAAUUAUCCCUUAGAAUAAAGUAUUUUCCAACUAAAAGUUUCCAAAACUAUUUAGCUAUUGGAUCAAGGUUAGAUGCCAAGGGUCCUACCCAAAAUAUAUCUAGGUUCAAGAAUGAUUAUCUUUAUCGGGAGUUCAACAAUACUUUUUUGAUACCACACCCGUGAGUAUAAAUUCACCGUUAGAUAUAUAAAAAGAAAUAUCAACCCUUAAAUGAUUUUAGAAGUUUCAAAUUAUUGGUAGGCACCGGUCUACAGCUUUUAAGGCCCAUUAAGGUUUGGUGGGAAUUUAGGUCAAUCUUUCAUUCAUAUAGUAAAUUCUAUCCUCUCCCUAGAAUUACACAUUUGGAGAGUUUCCUUCUCUGCAAUUUAUUCUCUAUAAAUUACUGACUUAACCAUGGGAGUUUUUUUCGAGAGACAGAGCCCUACCUCUCUUUUGUAGUUCACCACUGAAGUUUUGUCAACUACUAUCCGCUGUAGACAGUUAAGCUUUUUUUUUUUUUUUUUUUUGUAUUAACAAUCAUUAUGAAUGCCUUUAUGCUUUUAUUAAUUAUUACCUUGACUCUACCUUCCUUGCUAGGAAUUGCUACUAGGUUUCGCAAGUAUUUUUCUACACGCUCCUCACCAGCCCAAGCAUGCAACAGCACAAAUUAGUCAAGUGUCCUUUCCAAACGGAAGCCUAUUGAAAUUAAUGAAAGAUAUGAAGGCUUUCUUUCCGGUUGAAGCCAAUGUAUUUUCUUUCUUGAAAUAAAUUUCCACCAUUCCUUGAUAAAAAUUCAAAAGCUGUUGGACUAAAAGAUGAACCAAACUAUUCGAUACUCAAAUCGAACUCGACUUGGUAAAAAUUCGUUCCAAUUUAGUUCGCUAACUAAUCAAACUAAACUUGAACAACAAUUUAUAUUCAAUAACAUUCAAGCUCGAUAAAAUAAUUUGUUCAAAUUUGGUUCGACAAAUAAACAAGUCAAGUUUGAACGAAAUUUCAAGUUUGCUAAAAUAAUCAAACAAGUUUGAACACUAGGAUGUUCAUGUAAUCAUGCAUACUAUGCCAACCAAUAUACAGUUUUUUUUUUUUUUUUGGCUCAACACACACUUUUUUUUAUUAAAUAUGUCACUAGUGAGAAUUUACAUCAAUGGUACAUUAUUUAUAUGCAUACACGUACAUAUACGUGCAUGCAUAAAAAUACAUGGGAUUCAACUUUAUGCGUAUAUACACAUGGCUAAAGGUUCAAGAUUGCCGUGAUUUCAUUCUAUUUUCAUAUAUAUAUAUAUAUAUAUAUAUAUAUAUAUAUAUUUAUAUCUAUAUAUAUGUGUGUGUAUAUGCAUAUGUAUGUGUGUCUAUGCAUAUAUAUGUGUGUGUGUGAAAACCAUGUAGUAGAAAACGCACCGAGUAAAAGAUUCAACUGUUAAUGUGAAGGUAGCUGAUGUACUUUAAGAGCUUCAAUGUCGAUUAUGUGUUCUCAAUCCCAGCACAUGAGCAUGCAUCCUAGAUGACCUUCCCUGUUCCGUCACUACACCCAACCUAUACUCUCAUAAACACGCAUAGACAGGCAUCUUCAAAGUGAAUGACCAUCAUAAUUGCGUCCAAGCGCGCAGUCAAGCGAAUUCAAAUGACAGAUCUCAACCAUUUUGGAUAUAUAUAUAUAUAUAUAUAUAUAUAUAUAGACAGAGAGAGAGAGAGAGAGAGAGGAUCCAAGCUUUACAUGCUUUAGAGGUAACAAAGCAAAAAUCACCACUCAAACCUGUAGGAAACUGUUUCAGUAUGAAGUUUAUUUGGUAUGUACAAUGGACUGGUACAGCAAAUAUGCUAAUCAAUCACAUUUCCCUGGAUCUUCCAAGAGAGAAGGCUAUUAACAUGUGUAAAAUAGUGGCAAUUAAGAGGAAAACUUCCCUUCUUCAUUUCCACAUUUUUCAUAAGCUGCAAAGAGCAGUCAUAAGCAUAUAAAGA
rnacentral:lncRNA from 1 species